rnacentral:lncRNA from 1 species
UCGCACAUAUUAUUGAGACCAACUAGCAACAUAGAAAGCACAAUAUUGUACCAAUAAUGGCAGCCAAAAUAUUUUGCCUCAUUAUGCUCCUUGGUCUUUCUGCAAGUGCUGCUACGGCGAGCAUUUUCCCGCAAUGCUCACAAGCUCCUAUAGCUUCCCUUCUUCCCCCAUACCUCUCACCAGCGAUGUCUUCAGUAUGUGAAAAUCCAAUUCUUCUACCCUACAGGAUCCAACAGGCAAUCGCAGCAGGCAUCUUACCUUUAUCACCCUUGUUCCUCCAACAAUCAUCAGCCCUAUUACAGCAGUUACCUUUGGUGCAUUUAUUGGCACAAAACAUCAGGGCACAACAACUACAACAACUCGUGCUAGCAAACCUUGCUGCCUACUCUCAGCAACAGCAGUUACCUUUGGUGCAUUUGUUGGCACAAAACAUCAGGGCACAACAACUACAACAACUCGUGCUAGCAAACCUUGCUGCCUACUCUCAGCAACAACAGUUUCUGCCAUUCAACCAACUAGCUGCAUUGAACUCUGCUGCUUAUUUGCAGCAACAACAACUACUACCAUUCAGCCAGCUAGCUGCUGCCUACCCCCGGCAAUUUCUUCCAUUCAACCAACUGGCAGCAUUGAACUCUCAUGCUUAUGUACAACAACAACAACUACUACCAUUCAGCCAGCUAGCUGCUGUGAGCCCUGCUGCCUUCUUGACACAGCAACAUUUGUUGCCGUUCUACCUGCACACUGCGCCUAACGUUGGCACCCUCUUACAACUGCAACAAUUGCUGCCAUUCGACCAACUUGCUUUGACAAACCCAGCAGUGUUCUACCAACAACCCAUCAUUGGUGGUGCCCUCUUUUAGAUUGCUUAUGAGUUAUAGUUCAAUAAUAAAGUUUUUUUUGCUGAUAUUUGUGGCUUCCCAGAAAUAAGAAAGUACAUUUCUAGAUUCUUAUGUGCUUCUAGUCUCCAAAUGUGGUUGAUAGUUAUUUUGCUCUAAGAUCGGCAGUAAUGAGGUAUAAAUACUUGUUGUCGUGUGCUACUCGGUUAAUUGAGCAUUAACACACAUAAACAUUACAAGGAUGGUAUAAUCUCCUAAAAUGUGUACAUUGUUAGGUGUAACCCUAUAGCCAUGCAGAAUGUGCUAUGUUAGGCAUGCCGAUGGAAACGUGUGACACAUACGUUUUGUUAACCUAUUGAUAUUAUAUGUGCCUUUUAUAUUACCAUAUUUUAUUAAAAUACUAAUAUUUAUUACUAGUAAGAUAUAACAUUCUAUCUAGCUUAAAAACUAACCAUAAAUAUUCCAUCAUAACUAGAUUUACCAAACUAAUAUACUAAAUAUACAUAAUAAAUACAAAAUUAACAAUACAAUAUCAAUAUUUAUGAGCUUAAUAAAUUUAAACAUUAUGGUUGGCCGACGAUAAUCAUACUGACUUUCCGUAAUUGCUUGAUUGUAAAUAUACUUAGACUAAUGCCUCUUUGUUCUACAUGGCAAAUAGGGACCACUCUAGGAGACUAGGAUGUUGCUUGAGACGAAGAUGUUAUCAUUGGUGUAGACUAAUUUCUAUCAGCCGCUGACUUCACUAUUGUAACCAUUAUCUCUUGGGUAAAUCAUAUACGAUUAUCUAGCCAAAGGCCCAGAUGAUAAAAACAAUUUUUAAUUGCUAUUUCAGGACAAAUGAAUUAGCAUGGUUCGAAGGAUUGCGACCUUCCCCCCAUGACUUUUAUCGUAUUGUGUUAGUCUAAUCGACAAAACCAAGAUUAGAUAUCAUCGAAGAAGUUGAUAAGCGAAUCUGUGACCACUAUCAGAAUCAGCUGCUUUGCCGAGUGUCUAAAACACUCGACAAAGCCUGAAAAACACUCGGCAAAGGAUUUGCCGAGUGUAACACUCAGCAAAGAAAGCUCGGCGAAGUAUACAUCGGCAACGACUUCUUUGCCGAGUACUUUUUAUCGGGCACUUGGCAAAGAAGCGUCAUUGUCACGACGAUAGGUAAUGCCGACGGAGUCUGUGACGAGUGUCACAGAGUGACGCUCAGCAAAGGCUCACUCUUUGCUGAGUGACCACUGUACAGACACUCGGCAAAGAAGCCCCCGUGGGUCCCUUUAUCAGGGCCUUUGCCGAGCGUAUUAGGUGGCACUCGGCAAAGGCUCCAUCUUUGGUGACUGCCCGCCAGACUAGCAAUCGACAAAGGGAUCAACAGCGGAUCCCUUUGUCAGUUCUUUUGUCGAGUGCUCUAGGAGGCACUCAAUAAAGCUUGUGUUGGGGGCCUUCUUCUUCCGAAGGUCCUCAAAAACGUGACUAACCAUAGGUUUUCAGUAUGACAUAGACUAUUAUAGGAAGCUUUGGCUUUGGGAUGAAGGCGUGUGAUAUGAGGAUACAGCCCAAAGGCAACAUGGAUGGACGUCGAAGCUAUGGCUAAAGGAGUUUCGGCUUGGCAUGUUAGCGAAGAUGAAGGACGAAACCGACCUAAGGGAGAAAAGACUAGUUAGUCCUUGAUAGUUUGCAUUAUGAUUAAGAGCAGAUAUCAGGGGCAUGCAUGUAAUCUUAUCCGGGCUGCGUCCCGUGCCUAUGAAUAGAUGAAUAGUAACACCGUACUGUUCACGCUGGAUUAUAAUCGCUCCUACGUCACUCUCGCGUCUUCACCUUUUGGUAAGCUGAAGGUAUCAAUGUAAUACAAAUAUUGAUGAUGUUUAUUCAUGUUUAUGAAAUGAGAAUAUAAAUAGCUUGCUGAUUCGUAAUCAUUAUUUAUAUUCUUUUGUAUUUCAUGUACCCUUAUUUAGAUGUGUUCACUGAGAUGAUGAAGGUAUGCCCUUCAUGACCUUCGUUCGGAAACCAUUAUAUCCAAAAGGAGAUAAUGCUUCGAAGGACGAAGGUCUCUAAUUAUUGACAAUCAUGUUGUCUUGUUCUUGAUGUAUAGCAUUUGGGAACAAGGACCAACAUUGGCGCCCACCUCCCGUGAACUCAAUCGACCACCUUCGGCAAGCAUCGACUUUCGUAAUGCCGCCGAAGAAGACAAUAGUGCCAGGGGCUGCCCUGCAGCCACUGGACACUAAUCAGGAAACGCUGCGAGAAGCUAGGAUCUAGAAGAGGAAGGCUACUAGCCCAACACCUCAGGAGGAGGAGCUAGAUCAGGAGAUCAGAGAUUUGGAGGCUAUCACCAGCAGGUACAAAGAAAAAGGGAAAAGAUGCUUCAGCUCGUCGAACUUCAGAGAAAGAUCGACAAAGCUGCUGAAGAAAUGCGUCACCUUACCCAGGAUGACCAAGACCGAAGGCCCCAACAUAGGGAGCUUCAUCAAGAAAGCCCAAUUAAUGACGAUGAGUGGUAUGGUGACUUUCAUCGUGGCAAUUUUGCUUUUGAUGAUGCUUCUCCCUUGGCAGCAGAAUUGCAGGCUACCCCGUGGCCGCCAUCAUACAAGCCACCUCAGCUCCCCAUGUAUGACGAGCACUCAGACCCGAAGCAACCAUAUCCUCAUAUGGGGGCAAUACUGCGGUCAUGGCAAAGUCCUUCGUCAUGGCAGUUAGAAGCGUGGCUCAAACAUGGUGCUCUUCUCUUCGGCCAGGGACAAUUACGUCGUGGCAAAAGCUAAAAUACAUACUGGUCACUAGCUUCUAGGGUUUCCAAUCGAAACCAGUUACUGUCCAAACUCUGUUCCAGUGCACACAGGACCAAGAAGAAUACCUCCAAGCGUAUGUCCGAAGGUUCCUGCGAUUGAGAGUUCAGGCGCCUACAGUGCCCAAUGAGAUUGUCAUUGAGGCCAUGAUCAAGGGGUUCAGACCAGGACCAACGGCGCAAUACUUUGCAAGGAAGCCACCACAAACCCUAGAGAAGCCGACGAUGAUUUUCGGCAAAGAAGGCAAGAAGCCUACAGAUACUCUGAGAUGGCCAGGGGCUUCGGAGGAAGAUUUCACCCUAGGCAUGUCAGGUCAAUCCAUAAUACCAGCUCAAGUGACGACAAGGGAAACCAUACCCAAAGGCAGCAACACAGCUCUCAGUCGUCAGGAGCACAACAAAGCUCUUUGAGGCCACCGGCUCCAAGAGGUAGAGGGGGGAGAAGCUUCGGAGGAAGAUAUGGAGAUCAGCCCAGUAAACAGUUUUGUUUGUUCUGCGGUGAAGAUAAGGGGCAUACCACAAGAACGUGCCAAGUUAUGAUUCAGAAGCAGAAAGAAAUUGCUGAAGCUGAAGCACGUUCGAAUCAGCCGAAGCAGGUUCUGCAUACUGCUUCGUGCUACUCUCCCUACGUCCCGGAGUAUGUAGACAAUCAACAGCCUACGACCUUGGUCGCUUCGGCAAGCCAUUCUCAAGCUUCCUGGGCCCAGUUGCCACCACCACCACCGCUAGCACAUGCUCUGGUCCGCAAUCAAUAGCCAGAAGGGCACCACCAUGCUUAGUAAUAGCGCGACCUUCGGGAGGAGUCCGAAGCUCGCACAGUCAACAACAUUGUGCCUAAGUCGAAGCACAUCUAUUAAAGGUGCCACGGUGAUUCAAUUAAAGAAUAUCUUACCCUAAUGUAUCUUAGUUUUUCCGCCAUUUUAUUUUCUUGCAUGAAAAACAAUUCACGAAGGAUUAAUUUCCAAUUUGAUGUAAUAAUACCGUGGUCGCACCAUCGAGUGUGGAGCGCAUCGCCUUAACAAUACUUCCGAAGCUACAAAGACGUUCCUAAGGGAGCGCGGAGUAAGUUCUGAAGCUACAAAGUUGUUCAUAAGGGAGCGCAGAGUAAGUUCCGAAGCUCAAAAGUCGUUCUUAAGUGAAUGCAGAGCCAAGAUGCCACCAAAAUAAAAGGUGAAGAAGCUCAAAAGUCAUUCCUAAGGGGAUGCAGAGCUUAAAUGCCACCGAAAUAGAAGGUGAAGAAGUUCCAAAGUCGUUCCUAAGGGGAUGCAGAGCUUAGCUCCAAAGAUGUUCCUAAGGGGAUGCAGAGCUGAAAUAUAACCUAAGUAAAAAGUGAAGAGACUCAAAAGUCGUUCCUAAGGGGAUGCAGAGUCUGGAUGCAUUUUCGAGUGGGUGUGUUUCUUCGGCAUAAACAUCAUGCUGUAUCAUAUCAUCACAUCAUUUCUCAUAGCAUUACAUCAUACAUCACAUCACAUCAGCAACAGAACUGUGGAGAAGCAAAGAUGCUUCUUUCAAAAUAUUUGAUGAAUGGAACAAUGGGCUGAAGCAGAAAGUGUACCUUCAACAGCUAUAAUUUUACAUACCAAGAAAAAUCUUCGUCGACAAACAAUAUUAUAUAACAGCUACGACAUAAGAAGGGGUGAUUUUUUAUUUGUGAAGCAUGAAAAGAAGGGAAGGUGUUUUUUCACCAAAGGCUAAAAAACAGGUAAGUACAUACAUUUCAUGCAUCACAAAGAAAUAUAUUACAUUAAUAUACAAACAAAUGUUCGAUGUUCGACUCAUACACGAAUAUUACAUUUCUUAGUACACAAGAAUUUAGUCUUCUUUCAAUAUUUUCUCGGUAGCUUCAUGUAGGAGUUUGUUGACAGCUUCAUCAACGGCUUCUUCGGCAAUCCUUAUCGUUUCUAAUGCCCCCCUCAUGGCCGGAUCGGCCUCGGGAUCAUAUGGCUCAGGCGGUGGUGAAAAAUCAGCUGUAAUAAAGAACAAGUUGUUAAUAUCAAAGCCAGAAACAAAUACUGAAGCUAAAAUUCAGUAAUAAUACCUAUACGCCUUGCGCGCUCAGCAACCUCUUGGCUCGCUUAGCUUAUUCUCGAGCAUCAUGGGAUUCUUUUUCAUUUGUCUUUAUAGCUUCAUCGGCUAUCUCACGGCCACCUUUCAUCCAAACAUUGGAAUAAAACUUCUCGCCCAUCAAAGUAGCUUCGGCCGAAGGCUCCUUCAUGUCGUCUAUGGAGAAGACGGCUUCCGCCUGGGCUGCAGUUUUAACAUGUUCACAGCCAGUUUUCUCCAAAACUGCUGCAACCCCUCGGGCACCGGCGAAGGCACAAAAAUCCUCGCGUUCGCUAAGUAUUUCCUCAAAAGCUUCAACUUCUUCGCAAAUCCAUUGAACGACUCCUUUUGGAUCGCCUCGAAUAAAUUUUUGCUCCGAUGAGUAUGCACCCACCUUUGCAAAACUGUCUUUCAGUUUCUUUGCAUAGUCCAUGGAUACUUCGUAGCAUUUCUCUCUGGAACCCCGAAGUUCUUCAACAUUCUUCUCAAGCCUGGAGCUUGUCCAUUCACUUAUAUCUUACUUUGCCUUAGCAAGUUCAAUAUUUUCGCUCAUUUCGGCAAGUUUUUUGUGAAGGUCUUCGACUUCGGCUUGGUGAGCUUCGGAUUGUGCAUUAAGUUUUGCUUCGUUGCUCUUCAGUUUAUCCACCAAGGAAAGCAGUAUUUUAUCUUUUUCAAGCGCCUCGUUCCUUAAUGUAAUAACUUAUGACCGAAGGUUCCCAAGGGCUAUUUGGCAGCUUUCAUCUUCUGCAUUCUUUUGUGCCCUUAAAGCCUUGCUUAGGAUUAAUGCCUACAAAAAAUGAAGGAUCAGCACACAACAAUAAGAAAAGAUACAAAAAGUAAUCUGCUUAUAAGCUAAAAUGUCCUCACCAUCAGACUGUUAUAAGCAAGGAUGUCUGCAAGGUCAUCUUUCGACAUUGCAGACAACCCAAGCUCUAGCUUCGGGAAACCUAUAUUUUUUGCCAUCUCCCGACAAACAAAUAUUUUCUUGUUGUCUGGAAGGCAAUACAAAAAAUCAUCUUCGUCAGUGCCAUUAAACAUGAGGGAUCCUGGGGGAUACUUCAGAUCCUUAGCAAAUUGCCUAGCUUCGGCAACCUGCUCCUCUGAUAGUUUUUCCCUACCGCGUGACACACUAUAAAUUCCGAUCCCUCAGUAGAAGCUUCAACGGCAAGGAAUUCAGAUUCUUUGCUGGUUCUCUCUUUUCCUAACGGUAACGGAGCUUUUUCAGCAUCCAAAGGUCCUUUUUCAGCAUCCUUUUCAAUAAGCUCUGCAGGCCCUAUUUCUGCGGGAACUGAGGGCCCAGCUUCAGCUUCAACCCAAGUUAUGAUAGCUUCGGCAGUUUCCUUUGUACUUUUCUUACCCAUGCUAGGUACUUCUGUAGAGGCAGGAGUUAGUACUUUUGUCGAUUCCAUGACAGCAUCCAGUACACUAGCCAUUCUCCUCCUUUUUGGAGUUAUCAAAGUAGUUUUUUGAAUCUUCGGCAAUUCUGCCUCUGGCCGUGAAAAAGUUUUUGGCUGCUCCGCUGCUAUCUUCAGAAUUGGCUCUUCGGCUGAUCCCAAUAUGGCUUCGGCAGUAGCGAGAUGAUUUUGCUCAGCUGCAGAAGAAGACCCUUCAACAGGCUUUGACACUUUGGCCGUCUCAGAGUGCCUGGGCCGGUGUGUCAAGACUUUGCCAUUUUUCCCUUCGGCGUGGCAGAGAUUGCCGAAGCAGUAGCCUUCCUUUUCUUUCCCUGCUUUCGCGAGGGAUAACAAUAGUCUGGGUACACAAAACCAAUUACAUCAAAAACCCUAUUUAAUCUCUUCUUGCCUCGUCCUCCGAAGGCCAAUGUCAUGGCAUCGUCUUCGGCCCUUGUGUAGGCCCCAAGCAAUUCGUCACUAGUAGCCUCAAUGCAAUCCAACCAGUCAUCGUUCGGCUCAUCGAACUGAUCUCUGUAUCUGAAGGUGUAUUUCAGAUAAACUAAACUAACUUGACUGGACCCGGCCGCAGCUUCCUUCGACAUCUCCCAGCCACUUCCAAGAGGCCACACUCUGUAAGCAAUAUGCUCCUAGACUAAGUCCCUAGUGCCAAUAUAAGUACAUAAAGUGUUAAAGUCCGUAUGGCAUGCUUGAAUAUCAUGUCCAUGGACAGUGGUUGGCCUCCUAAUGCCGAAGCGAGACCAGAUAGGGCAUUGAAUGAUCCCCUUUAUAUCUUCUCUUUCAACUAAGUUGUUCUUCACAUAAAACCACUCUUGCAUCCAGGCUCCUGGCCACCUCUUCCAAAAUGUUGGGACGGGAUAGCUCACACCAGAGCGAGGCAUGAAGCCGUAACAACGAAAAUUAUUAUGAUAUUGUUCUAUGCCAGUAGCCUUUGUCUCAUAGGACAGGUCAUGCAUGUUGCAGAAGCAUUUUGCAUUCGGCUCUAAACCCUGGCCCAAAUGAAAACUCCCAUUCUGAUGAUAUCUUCGGGGGUAAUUUGAUGAAGGUAAAUUUCAAAAGUCUUCAAAACUUCAACUAAAAAUUUGUUCAGGGAGAAUCGAAGCCCUGCUUUCAUAGAACUCCUGUAGACAACAACUUCGUCUGCUUCGGGCAUAGGGGCACUGCUAUCUCCUCUGGCCCUCAUGAUAGAAAUAUCGCGGAAGUAUCUUCCUUUCAUUGCAUCAAUCUGACUCUGUUUGAUGGUUGAUUUAGCAAAGAUGGUAUGACUCGGUCGCCAGGGCUGAUCUUCGACAUCUUCGUUUCCACUUUCUAAGUCAAAACUUUCACUAUCGCUGGAAUCUUCAGACAACCCAACCAACAUCUCAUUGGUGAUCUUCUUCAUAUUUGUCUUCUCCAUAGCUUCAUAAAACCCGGCCAAUGCAGGGUCAGCAAUCUUCUUCUCUUUAGCCAUUUAGACAACGAUUGCACGAUUGUCGAAGCUUAAAACUCAAUCAAAACUCGACAGAGCAAGAGAAUUCAGAAUGUCUAAAAUAGCGCAAGCAACUGAAAUAGCACAGCAAAUGCUGCCAAUGCGAGUUUCUAUUUAUAUGCCUCACGAUUUGGUGGGCCAUACAUGUCAGUGGCUUUCGCUAUUCUAGCGAAGGGAAGGUGUUUUUUCGGAUCUUCGGUUAAAGGCCUUCGUUCACGUCACAGUCUAAAUUUGUUACAAAGAAACAAAUUAAUACUACGAGGGGCUACUGUUGGGGGCCUUCCUUUUCCGAAGGUCCUCAAAAACGUGGCUAACCAUAUGUUUUCAGUAUGACAUAGACUAUUAUAGGAAGCUUCGGCUUUGGGAUGAAGGCGUGUGAUAUGAGGAUACAACCCGAAUGCAACAUGGAUGGACGUCGAAGCUAUGGCUAAAGGAGCUUCAGCUUGGCAUGUUAGCGAAGAUGAAGGACGAAACCGACCUAAGGGAGAAAAGACUACUUAGUCCUUGAUAGUUUGCAUUAUGAUUAAGAGUAGAUGUCAGGGGCAUGAAUGUAAUCUUAUCCGGGCUAUGUCCCGUGCCUAUAAAUAGAUGAGAAGUAACACCGUACUGUUCACGCUGGAUUGUAAUCGCUCCUACAUCACUCUCGCAUCUUCACCUUUUGGCAAGCCGAAGGUAUCAAUGUAAUACAAAUAUUGAUUAUGUUUAUUCAUGCUUAUGAAAUGAGAAUAUAAAUAGCUUGCUGAUUCAUAACCAUUAUUUAUAUUCUUUUGUAUUUCAUGUACCCUUAUUUAUAUGUGUUCACUGAGAUGAUGAAGGUAUGCCCUUCAUGACCUUCGUCCGGAAACCAUUAUAUCCAAAAGGAGAUAAUGCUUCGAAGGACGAAGGUCUCUAAUUAUUGACAAUCGUGUUGUCUUGUUCUUGAUGUAUAGCAUUUGGGAAUAAGGACCAAUAGCUUGCUUCUUUGCCGAGUGCCAAGGCCACAGCACUCGGCAAAGAGUCUUUACCGGUGCGCAGGUGUGCCUUCUUUGCCGAGUGCUAUGACAUUGACACUCGGCAAAGUAUCUCUUUGUCGAGUGUAACACUCGACAAAGUGACCAGAUUAUCCCUUUUUAUUUGUUUUUGCUAUUCCAUCCAAACAAAUAAAAGAUAUAUCGCAUAAUCAUCACAUAUACAUCAUAGAUAUCACAUAAUCAUCGCAUACAUAAUAGAGACUGCAUAUUUCACAAAAAACACAAAUCUCACAAGUUUUUCUCAAACAUGUCCAUGUUCAUACCAAGAUUCACUAACAUAAGUAUCACACAACUCUAAAACAUAAGUUUUUCACAAACAUAAGUUUAGGACAAGUUUAUCACACAAGCUAAGAGAAGAUCAUGAGCGAGGUGGGCGGCUGGACUGGUGCGGCGACGGGCUGGGCGAUCCACGAGGGUUGUUGGAUGCCGCCCUAGAUUGUCCCUGCACAGAGAAGAGAUUGCCUGUGUUAUACUAGAUAAAUAUACAUCAUGCAGGACUAGAAUUUUGAUACUCAUAGGAGUAUGGAACUGAGCAGGGUCAACUGGAGGGAACAACGGAGGUGGUGGAGCAAAACCCUGUGCGGUGCCAAGGCUCUGCAUGUACUGGAACAUCUCUGCCAUCCUCUGUUGAUUUUCCAUGUGGGCCUCCCGCUCCGCCAUCAUCCUCGCCUCCAUAUCCUACCGUUCCCUCCUCUCUUCUUCUAGCUAGGCAUAUAAUAUUUCAACCCAGUGUUAUAAUAACUCAAAGAGAAGGUAUAUAACUCAAGGAAAGACGAGUUACAGAAGCACUAACCUGGAGUUGUUGUAUCUCAUGAUGUGAGUUGUCCUGUCGAGGUCGUAUGGCUGGGCUUGAGCUCGUGGUCCUUGCUCGCACCUGAGACAGAGUGGGAGUGGACAACGAGUCGAUUGUCCCGUCGGCAAUCCAGUACCUCCCAUGCCUCUUGCCUCCUCUGACCCUCAUGAGAACAUCUCCGUCGAUUUCCUUGGUCCUCGGAUCGUAAUCUGGCCCAUGGACCUCAUGUGACAUGGCAGUGUACUCACUUAGGCGGUUGUAGACGGCGGAGUUGCUAUAUGCCUCGGGCCCGUCAUCCGGGUUGUAGGUGACAUCGGACGUCGCCUUUCCCUUGUGGGCCAUAGCAUAAACCGAGAAGAUGGAGCAUGGCUGGCCACCAUGUAACACCAAAUGCAAUAAAAUCAAUGAGAUAGUUAGAAAUAAUAUCUAAACCAGUGCUAUAUACCUAAAUAAAAAGAGGGCGUACCCAUGCUUCUACAUAUUUCCAGAGGUUGCGACUGCCUUGGUGGUGGGAGGGACCUUACAUCAUCAAAUGUCGUUCCAUGCUAGCGUUGUGCGCCUCGUCCCACUUAGGCGAGCACCACCUAUCCACCAUCUGCUCCUAGCACUGAGGAUGCGCGGCGCACCAAUAAGGAAUCAUCUACAAACUAAAACAAGUACAUUGCAUAUCAGAAGAUAAAAUUAAGCAAUUUUUUUCACGAAUAUUAAAGUGAUGUAUUUACCUGCAAGUAUUGGUCCCUAGUCAACGACAUGGUUCGGGCCUCUUGUUUGGUCACCUUCUCUCUAAGGACGGAGCCAUGGUAGAUGAUGAUGACCUAGAUUCGUGCAUCGUAGUGCAUGUCCACGACGAGCUUCUUACAGCUUGUGGUGGCCACCACAUUUGCCCUGGCCUCGUAUCCAGCCUCGCAUCUGAAGAAAUCCUACAUACAAAGGCGAUAUAUCCAUACAUUAUUUCAAGUAUGUGCAACAAAUGCGACAUAUUUUACAAUAUAGUAAGACUUACUCAUAGCUUUUGCUUCACCCGCUCUGCCAUGUUGUUAAAUUCCCUAUCGUCCUAGUCUACUGCAUCAGGGGUGACGACGUAGUGGUCGAAGGUGUAGGCAGUAGGUUGGGCCCACCACUCCAGCGUACUCAACCAGUCCAGGGAAGUGUUCCCUACACAUAAGGCCAAGGAUGCCAUUGGGUUGUGGUCGUGACUCCCUGCAUUCUCCACAACCUUUCAAGACCUGUCCAAGUGAUAAAUAAAAAGUAUUAGUUUAUAUUAUGAAUUUGAACACAUAAUAUGAACAAACAGUGAGAACAUAAAAUUACAUGUCUCUCCCCAUCCUUCUGAAUCAGCGACCGCCUAUCUCGAAGUAUGGGACGCUGAGGGAGACUCGUGGGACCUCGCUGGUAGACGUUCCUCGAAUCUGAAGCACCAGAACCUGAGGCGUCUUGCUGAGCGUCGUCGUCGUCCUACUGUGUCGCAUCGAUAACGACCUGCUGCUGGACGUCGUCAUCCUGUUGUGCCUUCUUCGCCUUCCUACGGGUGCUCCUCCUCCCCCUCCUUGUCCUCAUCCCACCGCCCACCAUAUUUGUCCAACAACCUGUAAUUAAGGGUAAGCAAAUAAGCACAUAUAAAAAAGUUUAUUUACAAAUAGGCGUGAAAUAAAAAAAAUAGCAUUACAUCGUUUAAAAAAAUCUUCAUAUGUGUCGGGGUUAGCCAGAUCAUAAGUGUCAUCAUCACAAUCAACCAUUUCAUAGUCAACACCAUCUGAAGGCGCAAGUUCUUCAUUAAUGUCAUUGCCUUCAAGUAAUUCUAAGUCAUUCUCAUUUUGCACCUCAUCAACAACCAUUUCAAUAUCUACUUCCAUUCCGAUAGCUUCGGUUAAGUCUAUCUCAAAUCACCCUUCUAGCCCAUAUUCUUGGAAGAACUCUCCAUCAUAUGUAUCCGGGUCUAAGUUAUAAUCUUCAUCAUUUGGAACAGGUAAUUUACCGUGCAGUGAUACCUUAUACACAACAUCCCAACCCAUCCAUGCCUCAUAUAGGAGAUGAAGAAUCAAAUGCUGCAUUGGAUUGAAGAAGUCGAGUGGAAAUAUCUUCUCAAGCUUACACAAAAACACGGGUGUCAAUCUUUCCAAGUCUGCAAUCACGGACCAAGAUAACUCUUUCACACAAAGCUGGCAGAAUAAAUAGCUGAACUUUGUAAGCGCUAGCCAUACAUGCUCAGGGACAUAGCCUCGAACCAUCGUCGGAAGAAUCUGUUCAAUCCAUAAGUGGAAGUCAUGACUCUUCAUCCCUAAGACUCACAGAGUAGAUAAGUUCACCCCCCUACUUAGGUUAGCUGCAUACCCAUCAGGAAACAUCAACAUCUUGAUCCACUAAAGUACUUCCUUCCUCUGGGCCCUACUUAGGACGAAAUCGGCCUUAGACCUUCUCCAUGUCUUUCCACCACUAGGCGGCUUCAUUUCUUGGUUUGGUCUAUCACAUAACGCUGUCAGAUCCACUCUUGUCUUUACAUUAUCCUUUGACUUAUCAGGAAUGUCCAUAAUUGUUGCCCAAAGUGCCUCGGCGACAUUCUUUUCAGUGUACAUCAAGUCAAUGUUGUGUGGAAGGAGUGGGUCAUCAUAAUAGGGGAGCCGAGUCAAGCCCGACUUAUGUGUCCACAUAUGCUGCUCACCAUAUCCCACAAAUACACCUUCUGGAUUGGCCACGAGCCCAUCUAUUUGUUGACGAAUUUCGGCACCAGUCAUCAUUGCAGGUGGUUGGUCUGUCACUACAACACCUUUCGUAAAGUUAUUGAUGUCUAGGCGGAAUGGAUGGUUAGGAGGGAGAAAUUGUUGAUGUUUAUCGAACAACGAAUAUUUGCCACCCUUUUUCAACCAAAUGAACUUAAGAGCUUCCUUACAAACUAGGCAUGGGAACUUACUGUGAACACAAUAGACACAGAAUAGCCCAUACGCCGGUAAGUCAUGCAUGGCGUACUAGUACCAAACAUGCAUUUUGAAGUUUUUCUUCGUAGCUCGGUUAUACGUCCAUACCCCUUCCUCCCAAGCAUGUACGAUUCAUCAAUCAAAGGCUCCAUGUACACGCCCAUUUUAUUCCCCGGGUGUCCGAGAAUUAUCAACGACACAAAUAUGUUCUGCCUUUAAAAGCAUACACCGGGGGGAGAUUGAUUGGGAUAACAAACACGGGCCAACAUGUGUAUGGGGCAGCGCUCAUUCCAUAGGGAUUGAACCCAUCUGUGGCCAGCGCAACACGUACAUUAUGAGCCUCUUCAGCUUUCUCGCGGUAAAUGGCAUCAAAGUGUUUCCAUGCUUCACCAUCGGAUGUGUGCACCAUCUUAUCAUGAUUGUAUCGUUUGCCAUUUUUGUGCCAUGUCAUCUGUUUCGCGGAUUCCUCAGUCAUGUAUAGACGCUGGAUCCUCGGUGUGAACGGAAGGUGGUGUAGGAUUGUCACGGGGAUGUCGAGCUGCCUAUCAUGUCCAUCACCAAAGUCUACCUCCAUGAACCUAGACGAUUUACACUUCGGACAGUACUUUGCUUCCGUGUAUUCUUUCCUAAAUAGCACGCAGUCCUUCGGACAAGCAUGUAUCUGCUCAUAUGUCAUCUUGAGUGCACGGAGGAGUUUCUGUGUGUUGGGGACCUUCGGCAUCCGAAGGUCCUCAAAAACGGGAUUUAACAGUAUUUCUGGAAGUAUAAUGUGUGAGCAGGUACCUUCAGACUCAAGUCGGUAUCACGGCAGGAGAAGACCCGGAUAAUACGAAGGUCUUGAUACAACGCCGAAGAUGUUAGCAGGAAAGCUUCGGCAUGGUUGCAGAAAAUGAAACCGACUUAAAGAUGAAAAGGCUAUUCAGACCUCGAUAGAUUACUAUAGAAUUAUUAUCAAAUGUAAAGGGCAUGAAUGUAAUUUUGUAUGGGCUGUGUCCCGUGCCUAUAAAUAGGUGAACAGAACCCCCGUACUGUUCACGCUGACUUGGCAUUCGCUUUUUGCGUCACGCUUGUACUGUCAUCUCCUUCCGAUUGAAGGUACACUUGUAAUUCAACGAUAUUUCUGUUUAUGUCUGAUAAUAAUAUAUAAUUGUUCAUAUUGUCUUUUAUGUUCUUUACAUUUCAUUCUUCGUCAUUGCUUAAUGAAUUUAUGAAGGUACGUCCUUCAUAACCUUCGUCCGUAAACCAUUAUAUCCUAAGGGAAAUAAUGUUUCGGAGGGCGAAGGACUUUAACGAUUAACAUUUUCUAUGUUGCCUUGUUCUUAACUCAUAGCACUUGAGAACAAGUCCCCAACAUUGGCGCCCACCUCCGGUGAACUCACUUCCACUCUUUGAAGUUUUUUGAACACCUUCGGCGAUCAUAAAUCUUCGUUAUGGCGCCGAAGAAAGCUUCAGCGACUGGGGCUGCAGCUCUGCAACCACUGGACCACAAUCAGGAGACAGUUUCCCUGCGGGAGGCCCGAAGCCAGAAAAGGAAGGCUGUCAGUCCGACACCACCAGAGGACGAGAUAGAUCAAGAAAUCAGAGAUAUGGAGAUGCUUCAUCAACAAGUACAGAGGAAGAAAGAAAAGAUGGCCAGGCUAGCUGAACUGCAGAGGCAGAUAGACGAAGCCUCUGAAGAAGUUCGUCAUCUUGCUCAGGAUGAGCAACACCGAAGGCCUCAGCACCAAGACCUUCAUCAGGAGGGUUUUCCCAACGAAGAUGACUGGUAUGACAAUUUCCAUCAUGGGAAUUUUGUUUUUGAUGAUGCUUCUCCUCUGUCCGCUGAGCUGCAGGCUACACCUUGGCCUCCGUCCUACAAGCCGCCUCAGCUUCCCGUAUUCGAUGGUCACUCAGACCCGAAGCAGUUUUUGAUGAGCUACGAAGCAACAGUAUCUUCGUAUGGUGGCAAUGCUUCAGUCAUGGCCAAAUCUUUCGUUAUGGCUGUCAGAAGUGUUGCUCAAACCUGGUAUUCCUCCCUUCGACCAGGAACGAUCACUUCAUGGCAGAAGCUGAAGGACUUGUUGUUAACUAGCUUUCAAGGAUUUCAGACGAAGCCGGUCACUGCUCAGGCUCUGUUCCAGUGCACCCAGGAUCACGAAGAAUACCUUCAGGCGUAUGUCCGAAGGUUCUUGCGUUUGAGGGCACAGGCACCAACGGUGCCCAAUGAAAUUGUCAUCGAGGCCAUGAUCAAGGGGCUUCGGCCAGGACCGUCAGCUCAGUACUUCGCCAGGAAGCCUCCUCAAACUUUGGAGAAGCUGCUCCAGAAGAUGGACGAGUACAUUCGGGCCGAUAAUGAUUUUCGCCAAAGAAGGGAGGAGGCUUUCAGGUUUUCUGAAAUGACCAGGGGCUUCGGAGGGAGGUUCUACCCGAGGCACGUGAGAUCAAUUCAUAACUCUACACAAAAAUGAUGAUAGAGGAAGCCAACAGCAAAGGCCACAAUGCUCCUCACAGGCUUCGGGGCAACAGCAAAGCUCCUUCCGACCACCAGCUCCAAGAGGCAGAGGCGCCAGGGGCUUUGGAGGAAGAUUUGGAGAUCAACCGAGAAGAAUCUUUUGCUUAUUCUGCGGUGAGAACAAAGGCCAUACUACCAGGAUGUGCCAUGUUACUAUUCAGAAGCAAAAGGAAAUAGCUGAAGCCGCAGCACAACAAGCUCAGCCGAAGCAGGUCAUGCAUACAACUUCGUAUCAUUCGCCCUACAUCCCAGAAUAUGUGGGCAACCAUCCUGCAGUUUCUGUUGCUUCGGCAAGUCAGCCUCAAGCUUCCUGGCAACAGCCUCCGCCUCCACCUCCGUUGCAACAAGGCCAGCAACCAGAAGGGAGCCAGUAUGCUCCACACCAGAGGGACUUCAGAGAGCAGUCCGAAGCUCGUACAGUCAAUAGCACUGUGCCAGAGUCAAAGCACAUCUAUUGACGAAUAUCCUACCUUAAUAGCAAUCUUUUUCAUUCAGUUUUAUUUUCUGUAAUAAAGGACAUUGUUUAGGUUUCAUGUAAUUAGUUUCGUUGAUUCCUACAAGAAAAAUAUGUUUUCCUCACAGGCUUAAAUUGAUUGAAGUUCAAAGACUUGUGAUAAAAAAAAGGACCUUCGAACUAUCGAAAAUUCUUCGAAGCAACAAAAAGUCGUUCUAAGGAACGCAGAGUAAGUUUGCCGAAGUCACAAAAAGUCGUUCCAAAGGGAGCGCAGUGUAAGUUUUCUGCUCCAAAGUCGUUCCAAAGGGAAUGCAGAGCAUACAGCGAAAAGUCAACGCUGAUACCGCCUAAGUAAAAGGCGAAGCGCGAAAAGUCAACGCGAAUACCGCUGAAAGUAAAAGGCGAAGAAGCUCCUAAGGGAGGCUUACAGCGAAAAAUAAACGCUGAUUCCGCUGAAGUAAAAGGCGAAGAAGCUCCUAAGGGAGGCUUAUAAAAGAUGUGUUUUAUUGCAGGGAUGCGUAUGUAUCUUCGGAAUAAACGUCAUCUCACAUAACAUAACAUCAUCGCAUCAUUUCGCAUAGCAUAAGCAUCAUACAUCAUUUUGCACAUGGCACAAGAGGUGGACACAUUAUUAAUCUACAGAAGAACGCUUUGAAAAAAGGGAGAAAUCAAAGUCACAAAAAGAUACAUCAUUGAUCUUCGGAAGUGUAUCUUCGGAAGUGUAGCUUCGGAAAAUAUCUUCACGAAGCCUGGAUAUUAAUCAUCAGAACAUUGGAUAUUGUUGUGACAAAGAAAAAUUCUUCUUCACGAAGCAUGAAAAGAAGGGAAGGUGUUUUUUCGUCAAAGACUCAAAAGUGGUACGUGUAAAGUUUCAUGCAUCGUAAAGAAUUGACUAACAAAAAUAGGUAUAUUACAUUUGGGGUUACAAAAUGUUACAGUAUAUUACAUUUCAGAAAGUUUUCACAAAAAUACUUAAUCUUCUCUCAAAACGACUUCUGCAGCCUCGUUCAGGAGCCGAUUGACGACUUCGUCCAUAAUAUCUUCAGCCAUCUUUUUAAUUUCGUCGUCUCCUUUCGGCUGAGGGCCCGAAGACGCUUUAGCACGAUCUGAAGUAAGACAGCAUGCGGCUACAUUGCUAUUACAAAUCGCAAACAAAUCUUAAAGCCUAAGAUUACAACACGAUAAAAACUAUUAGUUAAUACCUAAUUGACCUUCGGCCUCUGCGCUCUUUUCAGCAGCCUCAGCCACUUCUCUAGCAUCGUGAAUGCCCUUUUCACUUCUUCGAAUAAUUUCUCCGGCCAUUUCUCAGCCACCAUUAUCCCAGAUAUCGGUAAAACAUUUUCCACCAAUUAUACUAGCUUCGGCCGAAGGAUCUCUUGCAUCUUCAAAGGGCAAAGCAGCUUCGGAUUGUGCUAAAAUUUUUACAUGUUCGCAGCCCUUCUUCUCUAAGAUGGUGGCAAUCCCUCUGGCACCAGAGAAGGCACAUAUAUCUCCUCGGCUAUUUAAAAUUUCUUCGAAGGCUUCAGCUUCGUGGUCGAUCCAUUCGAUGACACCUUCGGGAUUGCUUCUCGAAAAGUUUUCCUCACUUGAGAAUGCGCCGACCUUGGCGAAGCUAGCCUUUAGCUUCUUAACACAAUCUAUAGAUUUAUUAUAGCAUCUCUUUUUGGACGAACGAAGCUCUUCAACAGUCACUUCUAGGUGAUCUGCCCAUUGAUCGCUGAGUUCACGCUUUGUUUCUUCAAGUAUGCGUUCUUCCUUGGCUCUGGCCAGUUGUUUCCGAAGAUCUUCAAUUUCGCGCUUCUGAGCUUCAGCUUGACCUUUAAAAGCAGCUUCGUCUUCCUUUAUUUUAUUUAUCAAUGAGUAUAAUAUUUUAUCUUUUUCGAGACCUUCGUUCCUCAGUUCAAUUACUUCGGAACGAAGGUUGCUCAGGGCUAUAGUACACCCUUCGUCUUCAGCAUCUUUCUGUGCCCUGAGGGCAUUGCUAAGUAUCAGGCCCUGCAAAGAGAAAUAUGUGUGCGUCAAUAGGUUUAAACAAACGAAAAAUACAAGGAUUUCAUUUCUCGCACCUUUAAGCUAUUGUAAGCCAGGCUGUCGGCCAGAUCGUUCUUCGACAGCACCGAGAGCCCGUCUUCUAAAGUUGGGAAUCCGAAGCUCUUGCUCAUCUCCCGACAGACAGAAAUUUCCUUGCUAUCGGGGAGACAAUACAAGAAGUCUUCUUCUCCACUGCCAUUGAAUAUUAACGCCCCCUUUGGAUAUUUCAGUUUUUGGGCGUAGUGCUGGGCCUCUUGCUCUUCUUUUUCUGAUAGUUUUUUCCCCGAAGCAUGGCGAACAAUAUAAUCACGAACUUUGGGGGAUGCUUCGGGGGCAAUGGCACCGGUUUCUUCAACAAAAGUUGGCUUUGUUAUUUUUUCUGCCUCACUUUCCAAGGAUUUUAUCUUUGCAGGCUCUGAGGGCCCAGCUUCGGCUUUAGUCUCUUGCCCUGAAGCUUUAGAUCCAGAAAUUUCAGUUGUUUCAGGAAUGACAGCAGCCCUCUUCGGAGGUGUGCUUGAAGAUUUGAUCGUUUCCAGUACAUCUAGCACAUUAGCCAUUCUCUUUCUUUUCGGAGUCACUGCUGGCACUUUCACUAUCUCAAUGUUUGCUGCAGGACUCAAAACUUCUGAUGUUUUGGAUCCCUCAGUUGAUUCUUUUACCUUUUCCAUUUUUUCUGUGGACGGCGCUUCGGCUUUCUCUUUCGUUUCUGAUAACAAAAUUUUUGAUUGUUCCAAUUCUAUCUUUGUUGGCACUUCGGCCGUUUCUGCGACUUCUGGCAGCAAGGUUGGCUCGGUUGGUUUUUCAGCUUCGGUGGCCGAAGAAGUUUCUCCGGUAAACUCAGGCACCGAAGCUGGUUCAAUAUAGCGCGGCCGAUGCGUAAGGACCUUUAUCUUCUUUCUUUUCGGUUCUGGCUCGCUAGGAGCAGUUGCAGCUUCUUCUUUUGCAGAGGUUGUGUUUUUUCUCUUCUGCCUUCGAAUGGGAUAGCAAUAGUCAGGGUAGACAAACCCGAUUGCAUCAAAUACCCGAUUCAGCCUCUUCUUUUUUCGGCCUCCGAAGGCUGCUGACAUUGCAGUAUCUUCGGCCUUCGAAUAGGUCCCAAGCAGCUCAUCACUUAAAUUUUCAAUGCUUUUUAACCAGUCAUCAUCUGGUUCAACGAAUUUAUCUCCAAACUUAAAAGUGUACUUCAACCUGAUAAGUCCACCUUCGUCGGCCUCUUUUAUGGUUUCUUGUGGCAUUUCCCAUUUCUCCGCAAGUGGCCAUACCCUGAAGGCGAUAUGCUCUUGUACUAAGUCCCUCGUUCCAAUAAAAGAACAGAUAACACCGAAGGCCCUCUGGCAUUCUUCGGCAGCCUCACUCAUUUCAACCUUCGGCCUCCGAAGGCCGAAGCUUUGCCAAAUAGGGCGCAUAAUUAUACCUUUGAUAUCUUCUCGCGCUGUCAGAUCAUUCUUCACAUAAAACCAUUCUGUCAUCCAGUCGCCGGGCCAUCUCUUCCGAAAGGUCGGCACGGGACAGCUUGACCCGGACCGAGAAACGAAAUUGUAGCAGCCAAAAUUAUUGUGAUACUGUUCCUUACCCCAAGGUUUUGUUUCGUAUGAUAAUUCGUGUAUAUUGCAGAAACUUUUUGCAUCAGGCUUCAGACCUUGGCUUCUCACGGCCCACACGAAGAUAUUUAGCCUUAUAAUUGCCUCAGGGGUAAGUUGAUGGAGAUAGACUUCGAAUAUUUUCAGUACCUCCACAACGAAGCUGCUCAAGGGAAAUCGCAGUCCAGCUUUCAAAAAGCUUCGGUACACUACGACUUCAUUCUCUUCAGGGUGUGGGCAAGUUUUUUCCCCUUCGUCGGCCCUCACAAUGGACAAAUCCCGGAAAUACCUUCCUCUCAUGUUGACAAGAUGAUUCUCUUUGAUAGUUGAUUUACCAUAAACUGAAUGGCUUGGUCGCCAGGGACGAUCUUCGGAGUCCUCACCACCACUGUCCACAUCAUAGCUGUCACUGUCACCAGUAUCUUCAGACAAACCUUCCAGAAUCUCCUUGGUAAUUUUUUCUGUAUUGGUCUUUGACAUCGCUAUAAGAAACCCCAAGUUUUUCUCUUCGUCAAGGCUCAGCUUCAUCUCAGCAACAGUCUUCUUAUCUUCAGACAUCUUCGGAGACGCUAAAAAACUAUUUUCAAAGCCGAAGCUUCAAAACUAAAAGCUUAGCAAAUCGCAGUGCACAAGAGCUAAAAAUUGAGUGAGCGGGAGUAGUUGGCCAGAAAGCGUGUCAAAUGAGUUUGCGGUAUGGCCGUAUUUAUACGCCAAGAGCGUUGAAAAUUCAAAGACCCCGCUUGUCAGUGAAUGUUGCUAUUCUAGCAAAGGGAAGGUGUUUUUUCGGACCUUCGGCGUAAAGCCUUCGUCCAUGUCGCAAUCUAAAUUCGUUAUUUUAAAACAAAUUAAUAUUGCGAGGGGCUACUGUUGGGGACCUUCGGCAUCCGAAGGUCCUCAAAAACGGGAUUUAACAGUAUUUCUGGAAGUAUAAUGUGUGAGCAGGUACCUUCGGACUCAAGUCGGUAUCACGGCAGGAGAAGACCCGGAUAAUACGAAGGUCUUGAUACAACGCCGAAGAUGUUAGCAGGAAAGCUUCGGCAUGGUUGCAGAAAAUAAAACCGACUUAAAGAUGAAAAGGCUAUUCAGACCUCGAUAGAUUAUAUAGAAUUAUUAUCAAAUGUAAAGGGCAUGAAUGUAAUUUUGUAUGGGCUGUGUCCCGUGCCUAUAAAUAGGUGAACAGAACCCCCGUACUGUUCACGCUGACUUGGCAUUCGCUUUUUGCGUCACGCUUGUACUGUCAUCUCCUUCCGAUUGAAGGUACACUUGUAAUUCAACGAUAUUUCUAUUUAUGUCUGAUAAUAAUAUAUAAUUGUUCAUAUUGUCUUUUAUAUUCUUUACAUUUCAUUCUUCGUCAUUGCUUAAUGAAUUUAUGAAGGUACGUCCUUCAUAACCUUCGUCCGUAAACCAUUAUAUCCUAAGGGAAAUAAUGUUUCGGAGGGCGAAGGACUUUAACGAUUAACAUUUUCUAUGUUGCCUUGUUCUUAACUCAUAGCACUUGAGAACAAGUCCCCAACACUGUGCCUCAUACAUGCUCUUUGGUAGAACGUGAUCCUCCGGAAGCAGGCUACCAAUAACUGUCAACAAGCAAUCGAAUGCGUCUUGACUCAUGUUAUACUGCGACUUGAACGCUAUUACAUGCCCAAUGGCAUCCAGUUGAGAAACCUUUGUCUGGCUGUGAAGGGGCUUCUGUGCCACGUCAAACAUGUCGUAGAACGCCUUUGCAAUCGGCUCUAGCUCGUCCUCCAUACAUCCUCCGACGAACUAUGCCUCAUGAUAGUCGUUCAACAUAUCUGCUACCCCCGCAUCAGCAUCAUAAUCCUCGACGUGUUGUCUCUGAAAGGGAAAUAAGCUUACACCUUUUCCUAAAUGAUUUUGGUGGUUGAAUUGCCCAACACAAAUAAUUGGACUAACUAGUUUGCUCUAGGUUAUAAGUUCUAUAGGUGCCAAAGGUUCAACACAUACCAAUAAAAAGUCCAAGAAAGGGUUCAAAUAAAAAGAGCAAAAGACAACCGAAGGCUGCCCUGGUCUGGCGCACUGGACUGUCCGAUGUGCCACCGGACAGUGUCCGGUGCACCAGAGAGAUUCACUCCAAACUUGCCACCUUCGGGAAUUUGGGAAGCCACUCCGCUAUAAUUCACCGGACUGUCCGGUGUGCCAAGCGGAGCAACGGUCGCCAACGCAAUGGUCGAGUUCAACGGUCGGCUGACAACGCUACAGUGCGCGGACUACGCGCGUAGAAGUCAGAGAAGGCGCAGAUGGCGCACCGGACAGUGAAGAGGACCUGUCUGGUGCACCAUCGGACUGUCCGGUGGCCCACAUGUCAGAAACUCCAACGGUCGAACCCUAACGGUUGGGUGACGUGGCUGGCGCACCGGACAGUGUCCGGUGGCGCACCGGACUGUCCGGUGCGCCCAUCGACAGCAGAGUUCCCCAACGACCACUUUGGUGGUUGGGGCUAUAAAUACCCCCCAACCACCACACUUCGAUGCAUCCAAGUUUUCAGCCAUCAAACCUCAUACAAGAGCUCUAGACUUCAUUCCAAGACACAAACAAAGAGAUCAAAUCCUCUCCCAAGUCUGGAAUCACUCCAAACAAAUUAGUGACUAGAGAGAGAGAGACUUUUGUGUUCUUUUAAGCUCUUGUGCUUGGAUCGCUUUUCUUCUUCCUCCUUUCUUGUUCUCAACUCAAUUGUAAUCAAAGCAAGAGACACCAAGUUGUGGUGGUCCUUGUAGUGGACUAAGUGUCCCGUUUGAUUGAAGAGAAAAGCUCACUCGGUCUAGGUGACCGUUUGAGAGAGGGAAAGGGUUGAAAGAGACCCGAUCUUUGUGACCACCUCAACGGGGAGUAGGUUUGCAAGAACCGAACCUCGGUAAAACAAAUCACCGUGUUCAUCUGUUUUAUUUCUUUGUUGAUUUGUUUUCCCUUUCUUUCGGACUUGAUUAUAUUUCUAACGCUAACCCUUGCUUGUAGUUGUGCUUAAACUUUAUAAAUUUCAGAUUUGCCUAUUCACCCCCCUCUAGGCGACUUUCAAUUGGUAUCAGAGCCCGGUACUUCAUUAGAGCCUAACCACUCGAUGUCAUGUCGGGAGCUCACGCCAAGAAGGAGAUGGUGACCGGCGAGAAGCCCGCCACAAGCCACGGGAAGGCUCCAUCGGGAGAGUCCGGCAACAAAAGGGAGGAAUCACCUCCCCACGUCAAGUCGCACCGGAGUGGUGACCAGAAGAAGAAAAUGAAGAAAGUGUUCUACUGUGAGACCGAUUCUUCGUCGCCAUCCACCUCCACGUCCGACGCGCCGUCCGUCACUUCUAAGCGCCAUGAGCGCAAGAAGUUUAGUAAGAUCUCCUUACGCUAUCCUCGUAUUUCCAAAUGCACUCCUUUACUUUCCGUCCCACUAGGCAAACCACCGGUUUUUGACGGUGAACAUUAUUGUAUGUGGAGUGAUAAAAUGAGGCACCAUCUAACCUCACUCCACGCUAGUAUUUGGGACAUUGUUGAGUUUGGUGCGCAGGAACCAUCCGUGGGGGAUGAAGGCUAUGAUUCGGAUGAGGUAGCCCAAAUCCAGCACUUCAACUCCCAAGCCACCACUAUACUCCUCGCCUCUCUAAGUCGAGAGGAGUAUAAUAAGGUGCAAGGGUUGAAGAGCGCCAAAGAGAUUUGGGACGUACUAAAGACCACACACGAAGGAGACGAGGUGACCAAGAUCACCAAGAGCGAAACGAUCGAGGGGGAGCUCGGUCGCUUCAUGCUUCAUCAAGGGGAGGAGCCACAAGCAAUGUACAACCGGCUCUAGACCUUGGUGAACCAAGUGCGCAACCUCAGGAGCACCAAAUGGGAUGACCAUGAAAUGGUCAAGGUUAUUCUAAGAUCACUUAUAUUUCUUAAUCCUACACAAGUUCAAUUAAUUCGUGGUGAUCCUAGAUACAAGAUAAUGUCUCCCGAGGAGGUUAUAGGAAAAUUUGUGAGCUUUGAAUUGAUGAUCAAAGGCUCCAAGAAAAUCAUCGAGCAAGGCGCCUCCUCCACACCCGAAAUGCAACUCGUCGCAUUCAAGGCAACAGAGGAGAAGAAAGAAGAGUCUACUUCAAGUAGACUUCCCAUCGACGCCUCCAAGCUCGACAACGAGGAAAUGGCGCUCAUCAUCAGGAGCUUUCGCCAAAUCCUCAAGCAAAGGAGGGGGAAGGACUACAAGCCCCGCUCCAAGAAAGUUUGCUACAAGUGUGGUAAGCCCGGACAUUUCAUUGCUAAAUGUCCAUUAUCAAGUGAUAGUGACAGGGGCGAUGACAAGAAGGGGAGAAGGAAGGAGAAGAAGAAAUAUUACAAGAAGAAGGGCGGCGAUGCCCAUGUAUGCCACGAGUGGGACUCCGAUGAGAGCUCCACCGACUCCUCCUCCGACGAGAACGCCGCAAACAUCGCCAUCAACAAGGGUCUUCUCCUUCCCAACGUCGAUCACAAGUGCCUCAUGGCAAAGGACGACAAAAAGAAGAAGGUAAAAUCUAGAGCUUCCACUAAAUAUGCAACAUCUAGUGAUGAGGCUAGCUCUAGUGAUGAUGAGGAUGAUUUGAUCACCCUUUUUGCCAACUUAAACAUUCAACAAAAAGACAAAUUGAAUGAAUCGAUUAGUGUUAUUCAUGAGAAGGAUGAACUCUUGGAUAGCCAAGAGGACUUCCUUAUUAAAGAAAAUAAGAAGCAUGUUAAAGUUAAAAAUGCUUAUGCUCAGGAGAUAGAAAAAUGUGAAAAAUUAACUAGUGAUCUAAGCACUUGCCAUGACACUAUUUUCAACCUUAGAUUUGAAAAUGACAAAUUGAUUGCUAAGGUUGAGAAAUUAAAUGUUAGUGAUGAUUCUCUUGUCAACCUUAGAAAUGAUAAUGCUAAUUUGAUUGCUAAGGUUGACAAAUUGAAUGCAUCUCUCUCUAGCCUUAAAAUUGAGAAUGAAAAAUUAAUUGCUAAGGCUAAAGAUUUAAAUGUUUGCAAUGUUUCUAUUUCCAAUCUUAGAGAUGAGAACACUAUUUUACAUGCUAAGAUUGUUGAAUUAAAUACUUGCAAACCCUCAACAUCUACCGUUGAACAUGUUACUAUUUGCACUAGAUGUAGAGAUGUUAAUAUUGAUGCUAUUCAUGAUCACAUUGCUAUGAUUAAACAACAAAAUGAUCAUAUAGCAAAAUUAGAUGCUAAAAUUGCCGAGCAUGAAUUAGAGAAUGAAAAAUUUAAAUUUGCUCGUAAUAUGCUUUAUGGUGGGAGACGCCCUGGCAUUAAGGAUGGCAUUGGCUUCCAACAGGGAGGCGAUGUCAAACUCAAUGCCCCUAAGAAAUUGUCCAACUUUGUUAAGGGCAAGGCUCCCAUGGUUUAGGAUAACGAGGGUUACAUUUUAUACCCUGACGGUUAUCCCGAACAUAAAAUUAGGAGAAUUCACUCUAGGAAGUCUCACUCUGGCUCUCAUCAUGCUUUUAUGAAUAAGAGUGAGGCAUCUAGUUCUAGGAAAUCCACCCAUGCUAAAUUGCCUAAGAAGAAAACUCCUAUAGCAUCAAACGAACCUAAUUUUUCAUUUAAGACUUUUGAUGCUUCUUAUGUGCUCACUAACAAAUCAGGCAAAAUAGUUGCCAAAUAUGUUGGGGCUAAACACAAGGGAUCAAAGACUUGUGUUUGGGUACCCAAGGUGCUUGUUUCUAAUGUGAAAGGACCCAAGACCAUUUGGGUACCUAAGAACAAGGCCUAAACUUGUUUUGUAGGUUUAUGCAUGCGGGGGCUCAAGUUUGAUCAUCGAUAGCGGGUGCACAAACCACAUGACUGGGGAGAAAAUAAUGUUCUCCUCCUAUGAGAAAAAUCAUGAUCCCCAAAGAGCUAUCACAUUCGGGGAUGGAAAUCAAGGUUUGGUCAAAGGACUUGGUAAAAUUGCUAUAUCCCCUGACCAUUCUAUUUCCAAUGUUUUUCUUGUAGAUUCUUUAGAUUACAACUUGCUUUCUGUUUCUCAAUUAUGCAAAAUGGGUUACAACUGUCUUUUUACGGAUAUAGGUGUUACUGUCUUUAGAAGAAGUGAUGAUUCUGUAGCAUUUAAGGGAGUGUUAGAGGGUUAGCUAUACUUAGUUGAUUUUAAUAGAGCUGAACUCGACACUUGCUUAAUUGCUAAGACUAACAUGGGUUGGCUCUGGCAUCGCCGACUUGCCCACGUUUAAAUGAAGAAUCUCCACAAACUUCUAAAGGGAGAACACAUUUUGGGACUAACAAAUGUUCAUUUUGAGAAAGACAGGGUUUGUAGCGCAUGUCAAGCAGGGGAAGCAAGUUGGUGUUCAUCAUCCACACAAGAACAUAAUGACGACCGACAGACCGCUUGAGCUACUCCACAUGGACCUAUUCGGCCCGAUAGCUUAUAUAAGCAUCAACGGGAGUAAGUAUUGUCUUGUAAUUGUGGAUGAUUAUUCUCGCUUCACUUGGGUGUUAUUUUUGCAGGAAAAAUCUCAAACCCAAGAGACCUUAAAGGGAUUCUUGAGAUGGGCUCAAAAUGAGUUCGGCUUAAGGAUCAAAAAGAUAAGAAGCGACAACGGGACGGAGUUCAAGAACUCUCAAAUAGAAGGCUUCCUUGAGGAUGAGGGCAUCAAGCAUGAGUUCUCUUCUCCCUACACACCACAACAAAAUGGUGUAGUGGAGAGGAAGAAUAGAACUCUACUUGACAUGGCGAGGACCAUGCUUGAUGAGUACAAGACUUCGGACCGGUUUUGGGCGGAAGCAGUCAACACCGCUUGCUACGCCAUCAACCGUCUCUACCUUUGCCGAAUACUCAAGAAGACAUCGUAUGAACUACUCACCGGUAAAAAGCCCAAUGUUUCAUAUUUUAGAGUCUUUGGUAGCAAAUGCUUUAUUCUUGUUAAAAGAGGUAGAAAAUCUAAAUUUGCUCCUAAGGCUGUAGAAGGCUUUUUACUUGGUUAUGAUUCAAACACAAGGGCAUAUAGAGUCUUUAACAAGUCCUCUGGACUAGUUGAGGUUACUUGUGACAUUGUGUUUGAUGAGACUAACGGCUCUCAAGUAGAGCAAGUUGAUCUUGAUGAGCUAGAUGAUGAAGAGGCUCCAUGCGUCGCGCUAAGGAACAUGUCCAUUGGGGAUGUGUGUCCUAAGGAAUCCGAAGAGCCUCCACAAGCACAAGAUCAACCAUCUUCCUCCAUGCAAGCAUCUCCACCAACUCAAGAUGAGGAUCAAGCUCAAGAGGAUGAAAAUGAAGAUCAAGAAGAUGAGCCACCUCAAGAGGAGGGCAAUGAUCAAGGGGGAGAUGCCAAUGAUCAAGACAAGGAAGAUGACGACAGUCCAAGACCACCACACCCAAGAGUCCACCAAGCAAUACAAAGAGAUCACCCCGUGAACUCCAUCCUCGGCGAUAUUCAUAAGGGGGUAACCACUCGAUCUCGUGUUGCUCAUUUUUGUGAACAUUACACCUUUGUAUCUUCUAUUGAGCCAUAUAGGGUGGAAGACACAUUAAGGGAUUCAGAUUGGGUGUUGGCGAUGCAAGAGGAACUCAACAACUUCACGAGGAAUGAGGUAUGACAUUUAGUUCCACGCCCUAAUCAAAAUGUUGUAGGAACCAAGUGGGUCUUCCGCAACAAGCAAGAUGAGCAUGGUGUGGUGACAAGGAACAAAGCCCGACUUGUGGCCAAGGGAUAAUCACAAGUCGAAGGUUUGGAUUUCGGUGAAACCUAUGCACCCGUAGCUAGGCUUGAGUCAAUUUGUAUAUUACUUGCCUAUGCUACUUACCAUGGCUUCAAGCUUUAUCAAAUGGACGUGAAAAGUGCCUUCCUCAAUGGACCAAUCAAGGAAGAAGUCUAUGUUGAGCAACCUCCCGACUUUGAAGAUAGUGAGUACCCUAACCAUGUGUAUAAACUCUCUAAGGCGCUUUAUGGGCUCAAGCAAGCCCCAAGAUCAUGGUAUGAAUGCCUAAGAGAUUUUCUUAUCGCUAAUGGCUUCAAAGUCGGAAAAGCCGAUCCUACUCUCUUUACUAAAACAAUUGCAAAUGAUUUGUUUGUAUGCCAAAUUUAUGUUGAUGAUAUUAUAUUUGGGUCUACUAACAAAUCUACAUUUGAAGAGUUUAGUAGAUAAUGGUACAAAAAUUCGAGAUGUCUAUGAUGGGGGAGUUGAAGUAUUUCUUAGGAUUUCAAGUGAAGCAACUCCAAGAGGGCAUCUUCAUCAGUCAAACGAAGUACAUUCAAGACAUACUCACCAAGUUUGGGAUGAAGGAUGCCAAGCCUAUCAAGACACCCAUGGGAACCAAUGGGCAUCUUGACCUCGACACGAGAGGUAAAUCCAUAGAUCAAAAGGUAUACCGGUCGAUGAUAGGAUCUUUACUCUAUUUAUGUGCAUCUCGACCGGAUAUUAUGCUUUUCAUAUGCAUGUGUGCAAGAUUCCAAGCCGAUCCUAAGGAAGUUCACCUUAGGGUCGUGAAAUGAAUCUUGAGAUAUUUAGUUCAUACUCCUAAGUUUGGCCUUUGGUACCCCAGGGGAUCCACAUUUGAUUUAAUAGGAUAUUUAGAUGCUGAUUGGGCAGGGUGUAAAAUUGAUAGAAAGAGCACAUCAGGGACUUGUUAGUUCUUGGGAAGAUCCCUGGUGUCAUAGGCUUCAAAGAAGCAAAAUUUUGUAUCUCUUUCUACCACCGAAGCCGAGUACAUUACCGCAGGCCAUUGUUGCGCGCAAUUGCUUUGGAUGAGGCAAACCCUUAGGGACUAUGGUUACAAAUUAACCAAAGUUCCGCUCCUAUGUGAUAAUGAGAGUGCAAUCCACAUGGUGGAUAAUCCCGUUGAGCACAACCGCACUAAGCACAUAGCCAUUCGGUAUCACUUUUUGAGGGAUCACCAACAAAAGGGGGAUAUCGAGAUUGUUUAUAUUAACACCAAAGAACAAUUAGCCGAUAUCUUUACCAAUGUUGGGGACUUGUUCUCAAAUGCUAUGAGUUAAGAACAAGGCAACACAAGAAAUGUUAAACGUUAAUGCCCUUCGUCCUUCGAGACAUUAUUUCCCUUAGGAUAUAAUGAUCUUCAGACGAAGGUCAUGAAGGACAUACCUUCAUCAUUGCAAUAUACGAUAAUAAAAGGAGAAUCAUAUAGAAUGUAAGAGACAACAUGAAUAAGUAUGUAAUAUUAUCAGCACAUUUCUAUUUUAUUAUCAUGGACAAAUAGAAAUGAUAUCAAAUUACAAAUGUACCUUCAGCUUGAUGGAAGGUAAAAGUACAAGUGUGACGCACGAUCAAAUACAAGUCAGCGUGAACAGUACGGGAGCACUGUUCAUCUAUUUAUAGGCACGGGACACAGCCCAUGUAAAAUUACACCCAUGCCUUUUACAUUUGCUAAUGACUCUAUAGUGAUCCAUCGAGGUCUAAAUGACCUUUUCCCUUUUAAGUCGGUUCCCUUUUCCGCUGUUAUGCCAAAGCUCCCUUGCGCGUAGCUUCGGCGCUACGUCAACCUUCGUAUUCUUUGUGCUUCUCACACUGUGGUUCUGAUCCGAGUCCGAAGGUACCUGUUCAUGUAUCAUACUCCAGAAAUAAUGUUAAAUCAUGUUUUUGAAGACCUUCGGAAGACGAAGGCCCCCAACAGUAGCCCCUCGCAAUAUUAAUUUGUUAGAAUAACGAAUUCAAAUUGCGAUAUGGACGAAGGCCUUAAGCCAAAAUUCUGAAAAAACACCUUCCCUUUGCUAGAAUAGCAACAGUCGAUGACAGACGGGGCCCUCCAAUUUGGAACGCACUGGGCGUAUAAAUAGGAACUCACCCCGAGCACAUUUGGUACGCUAUCUGCCGCCUGCUUUGCUUGCUCAAUUUUUUAGCUCUUGCCUACCAACGCUUGCUUGGUUUUUUAGACUUUCUAAGCUUCGGCUUUAAGGACACAUUUUCGCCAUUUCCGAAGAGAAGAUGUCUCAAGACAAAAAAGUUGUUGCUGAGACGAAGCUGAGCGAAGAGGAGAAGCUCCAUGAGGAGAAGACUGCUGGAUUUGUUGAAUCAAUAGCAAAGAAAAAUACAGAAAAGAUUACUAAGGAGAUUCUAGAAGGCUUAUCUGAAGAUACUGAUGACAGCGACAGUUAUGAUGCGGAAAGCGGAGGCGAAGACUCCGAAGAUCGGCCCUGGCGACCAAGCAUGCAGUCUUCGGGAAAUCAACCAUCAAACAGAGUCAUCUUGAUAAUAUGAGAGGAAGGUAUUUUCGAUAUUAUUUUUUUGUUCUUAUAUUAACCCAUUCAUUCUUUUCAUAUAGGGUUUAAUACUUAGCAACGCCUUAAGGGCGCAAAAGAAUGUCGAAGACGAGAGUUGCACUAUUGCUCUCAACAACCUUCAAACAGAGGUUAUCAAGCUGAGGAACGAAGCUUUGGAAAAAGAAAAAAUUCUACUUACAUUGGUGGACAAAGUAAAGGGGGAUGAAGCUAACUUCAAGGCUCAAUCUGAAAUCCAAAGGAAUGAGAUUGAAAACCUUCAAAAACAACUGGCCGAAGCCAAAUUGAAAUGCGCUAUUGCCGAAGCUGACCGAGUUGCCAGUGAGUACUAGAAAAAUUAUCUUGAAAAACAGUUGCAGAGCUUCGCUCAUCAAAAGAAAGAUGUUUUGAAAAAUCUGUGGAAUGCGUGAAAAAGAUAAAAACUAGCUUUGCCAACGUUGGCGCAUAUUCAAGCGAAGAUAACUUCAUACGGGGCGACCCCGAAGGCGUAAUCGAGUGGAUCAGCGGUGAGGCCGAAGCCUUUGAAGAGAUUUUGAGUGACCGCGGGGACGUCUGUGCCUUCUCUGGUGCGAGAGGAAUUGCAGCUAUUUUGGAGAAAGCAGGGUGCGAACAUGUUAAAACUUUGGCCCAGGCCGAAGCUGCCUUCUCCACCGAUGAUAUAAAGGACCCCUCGGCCGAAGCAAACUCAAUAGGUGGAAAAAAUUUCACUGAUAUCUGGGAAAACGGUGGCCGAGGGAUGGCCCAUGAAAUUAUAAAGAAAAACGAAAAAGAUAUUCACGACACUCGAGAGUCAAUAAAAGAAGCUGAAAAGGCUGCGGAGCUUGAGAGACGAAUAUGUAUUACUUAAUGGUUUUUAACUUUGUUGUUUAUUUUUGUGACUUUGAACUGAUUUAUGUUUUCUACCUUAGCUGAACUAUCUCCUCCCCCAGCGCCCUUAGAGUCAUUGGCCGACCCAGAGGCAAAGGAAUCAACAGAACUUAUUAACAUGGCCGAAACUAUUGUAGACGAAGUCGUUACCCAACUGCUGACCGAAUUUGCACAUAAAGUUUUGAAGGAAGAAGAGUAGCUAUUGUAAAAACAUUGCUAGAAUAUUAAUGUAACAUUUGCCGGACUAUGCUUGUAAUAUUUGGUGCUCCUAGGUUUUGAAUGUAAUAUAUGAAUGGUUUUGUAAUUCAUUUCUUUGCGAUGCAUGAAACUUUUAUGUACAUACCGUUUUUGAGCCUUCGGCGAAAAAACACCUUCCCUUCUUUUCAUGUUCGUAAAGAAGAGCUUUUAUGCUUCGUAAAAAAUCCUCCAAUCGUCGCAAAAACAUUAAUGCUUCGUCAACAACAGAUUUUUCCUCCACAUCAGAGCUGAUGAAGCUGUAUUUCUUCAAAACUUAUUUUGUGCCUUAGCACAAUUUCACUUUUUUCGAAGCAUUCUUCGAAGGUCAACAUUGUAUCCCCUUCUUGUGCCAUUGAUGCAAUAUGAUGUAUGAUGUUAUGUUAUGUGAAAUGAUGUGAUGAUGUUAUGUUAUGCAAAAUGAUGUUUAUGCCGAAGACACACACUCACACCCCCAUAGUGGAAUACACAAUCUCUUUGCCGCUUAUUUUUCGGCUUCACCGCUUAUUUUUCGGUGUAUCAGCGCUGACUUUUCACUGUAAGUUCUGCAUUCCCUUAGGAACGUCUUUUGAACUUCUUCACCUUCUAUUUCGGCGGUAUUCGCGUUGACUUUUCGCGCUUCGCCUUAUAUUUCGGCGGUAUUUGGCUCUGCAUUCCCUUUGGAAUGACUUUUGAGCAGAAAACUUACACUGCGCUCCCUUAGGAACGACUUUUUGUAGCUUCGGCAAACUUACGCUGCGUUCCUUAGAACGACUUUUUUGUGGCUUCGGUGAUACUUGUAAUGUGAUUUUUAGCCCCGCGUUCCCUUAGGAACGACUUUUGUGCUUCAGUGACUUUUUGAACUUCGUGAGUCUGUGGAGAAGAUAUAUUUCACUAUGGCAAGAACGAAGUUAUUACAAGAAAUCAAGAGAGCUAGGUUUUCAAUAAUUGUUCCUUAUUAAAAAGGAAGUGAUAAUGAAUGUAAAAACUGCUUCAGGGGUAGGAUAUCUCUCAAUAGAUAUGCUUCGAUUCUAGCACAGUACUGUUGGCUGUGCGAGCUUCGGACUCCUCCCUGAAAUCUCGUUGCUGAUGGGUCUGUUGGCUCCCUUCUGGCUGCUGGCCUCGUGAAUAUGCAGGUUGUAGUGGUGGCAGAGGUGGAGGCUGUGGCCAAGAUGCAUGUGGCUGGCUAGCCGAAGCAACAGAAGCUGCAGGAUGGUUACCCACAUACUCUGGUAUGUAGGGUGAGUGAUACGAAGCAGUGUGCAUGACCUGCUUCGGCUGGUUCUGCUGAGCUGCGGCUUCUGCUAAUUCCUUUUGUUUCUGAAUGGUGACAUGGCACAUCCUUGUAGUAUGGCCCUUGUCCUCACCACAGAAUAAGCAAUUUUCCUAGGUUGAUCCCCAAACCUUCCUCCGAAGCCCCUGGCACCUCUGCCUCUUGGAGUUGGCGGCCGAAAAUAGGUUUGUUGCUGCCCCGAAACUUGCGAGGAAUAUUGUGGCUUCUGUUGCUGACUUCCUCUGUCGUCAUUCUGGGUGGAGUGGAUUGAUCUGACAUGCCUUGGGUGGAUUCUUCCUCCGAAGCCCCUGGUCAUCUCAGAGAACCUGUAGGCUUCCUCCCUUCUUUGGCGAAAGUCAUUGUCAGCCCGGAUGUAUUCAUCCAUCUUUUGAAGCAGCUUCUCCAAAGUCUGUGGAGGCUUUCUAGCAAAAUACUGGGCAGUAGGUCCUGGAUGAAGCCCCUUGAUCAUGGCCUCAAUGACAAUUUCAUUGGGCACAGUAGGCACUUGUGCUCUCAGACGCAAGAACCUUCAGACGUAUGCCUGGAGAUACUCCUCAUGAUCUUGCGUGCAUUGAAACAGAGCCUGAGCUGUGACUGGCUUCGUCUGAAAGCCCUGGAAACUUGUCACCAGCAUGUCCUUGAGCUUCUGCCAUGAAGUGAUGGUCCCUGGCCGAAGAGAAGAAUACCACGUUUGAGCCACAUUCUUAACUGCCAUGACGAAGGACUUGGCCAUGACAGCUGCAUUGCCUCCGUAUGAAGAUAUAGUUGCUUCAUAACUCAUCAAAAACUGCUUCGGGUCUGAAUGCCCAUCAUACAUUGGAAGCUGAGGUGGCUUGUAUGAUGGGGGCCACGGGAUAGCCUGCAGUUCUGCUGCCAAGGGAGAAGCAUCAUCAAAAGUAAAGGUAUCAUGAUUAAAAUCAUCAUACCAUCCAUCGUCGUUGAACAAGCCCUCUUGAUGAAGCUCCCUGUGUUGGGGCCUUCGAUCUUGCUCGUCUUGAGCAAGGUGGCGUACUUCUUCAGUGGCUUCGUCAAUCUGCCUUUGAAGGUCAGCUUGUCGGGCCAUCUUCUCCUUCUUCUUUUGCACUUGCUGAUGAAGCAUCUCCAUGUUUCUGAUUUCUUGGUCCAACUCGUCCACCUGGGGUGUUGGACUAGUGGCCUUCCUCUUCUGGCUUCGGGCCUCUCGAAGAGAAAGGGUCUCCUGAUUUGGGUCCAGUGGCUGCAGAGCGGCAGCCCCUAGCGCUGAAACUUUCUUCGGUGGCAUGACGAAGGUCAAUGCUUGCCGAAGGUGGUCGAAAAGAGUUCACCCCACGGUGGGCGCCAAUGUUGGGGACUUGUUCUCAAAUGCUAUGAGUUAGGAACAAGGCAACAUAAGAAAUGUUAAACGUUAAUGCCCUUCGUCCUUCGAGACAUUAUUUCCCUUAGGAUAUAAUGAUCUUCAGACGAAGGUCAUGAAGGACAUACCUUCAUCAUUGCAAUAUACGAUAAUAAAAGGAGAAUCAUAUAGAAUGUAAGAGACAACAUGAAUAAGUAUGUAAUAUUAUCAGCACAUUUCUAUUUUAUUAUCAUGGACAAAUAGAAAUGAUAUCAAAUUACAAAUGUACCUUCAGCUUGAUGGAAGGUAAAAGUACAAGUGUGACACACGAUCAAAUACAAGUCAGCGUGAACAGUACGGGAGCACUGUUCAUCUAUUUAUAGGCACGGGACACAGCCCAUGUAAAAUUACACCCAUGCCCUUUACAUUUGCUAAUGACUCUAUAGUGAUCCAUCGAGGUCUAAAUGGCCUUUUCCCUUUUAAGUCAGUUCCCUUUUCCGCUGUUAUGCCGAAGCUCCCUUGUGCGUAGCUUCAGCGCUACGUCAACCUUCGUAUUCUUUGUGCUUCUCACACUGUGGUUCUGAUCCGAGUCCGAAGGUACCUGUUCAUGUAUCAUACUCCAGAAACAUUGUUAAAUCAUGUUUUUGAGGACCUUCGGAAGACGAAGGCCCCCGACAACCAAGCCACUAGAUGAGAAAACUUUUACCAAUCUUAGGCAUGAGCUAAACAUUCUAGAUUCUAGGAAUUUUGAUUGAUAUUUUGCACACAUAGCUUAUUUCAAUACCUUUGAUCAUAUCUCUUUCAUGUGCUAUGACUAAUGUGGUUUUCAAGUAUAUUUCAUGCUAAGUCAUAGAUUGAAAGGAAAAUGGAGUCUUCGGCGAAGAAAAGGCUUCCACUCCAUCGAAUUAUUCAUCCUUCGCCGACACUCCACAUCGCUCUCCAAUUUGGUAUAAUCUUCACUCCUACAUUAUUUACCAAAGGGGGAGAAAGUUUGAAAAAGGGCUUAUAUUUUCACUCACAAGUAUCCGUUUUUGGCGAUUCAUGCCAAAGGGGGAGAAAGUAUUAGCCCAAAGCAAAAGGACCGCACCACCACCAAUUUCAAAAAUGAAGUCUUUUAAAUUUGUACUAAAAGAAGGUUUUUCAAUUGGUAUCUUAUUUUUGAUAGAAUUUUCAAAUUGGUAUAACCCAUUUCAAAAUUAAUAUCUAAAACUCUCUUGAACAAUAAGAGGAGAAUUUCAUUAAGGGGGAGUUUUGUUUAGUCAAAGGAAAAGCAUUUGAAACAGGGGGAGAAAAUUUCAAAUCUUAAAAAUGCUUCUCAAAAUCUUACUCAUUUACCUUUGACUACUUGCAAAAAGACUUUGAAAAGAAUUUCCAAAAGAGUUUGCAAAAACAAAACAAGUGCUGCAAGCGUGGUCCAAAAUGUUAAAAUAGAAGAAAGCAUCCAUGCAUAUCUUAUAAAAUGUAUAUUGGUUUAAUUCCAAGUAACCUUUGCACUUUCAUUAUGCAAACUAGUUCAAUUCUGCAAUUAUAUAUUUGCUUUGGUUUGUGUUGGCAUCAAUCAUCAAAAAGGGGGAGAUUGAAAGGGAAAUAGGCUUACACCUUUUCCUAAAUGGUUUUGGUGGUUGAAUUGCCCAACGCAAAUAAUUGGACUAACUAGUUUGCUCUAGAUUAUAAGUUCUACAUGUGCCAGAGGUUCAACACAAACCAAUAAAAAGUCCAAGAAAGGGUUCAAAUAAAAAGAGCAAAAGACAACCGAAUGCUGCCCUGGUCUGGCGCACCGGACAGUGUCCGGUGCACCAGGGAGAUUCACUCCAAACUUGCCACCUUUGGGAAUUUGGGAAGCCACUCCGCUAUAAUUCACCGGACUGUCCGGUGUAGCACCGGACUGUCCAGUGUGCCAAGCGGAGCAACGGUCGUUAGCGCAACGGUCGAGUUGAACGGUCGGCUCACAACGCUACAGUGCGCGUACUGCGCGCGCAGAAGUUAGAGCAGGUGCAGAUGGCGCAUCGGACAGUGAACAGGACCUGUCCGGUGCACCACCGGACUAUCCGGUGGCCCACAUGUCAGAAGCUCCAACGGUCGAACCCUAACGGUUGGGUGACGUGGCUGGCGCACCGGACAGUGGCCGGUGGCGCACCGGACUGUCCGGUGCGCCCAUCGACAGUAGAGUUCCCCAACGGCCACUUUGGUGGUUGGGGCUAUAAAUACCCCCCAACCACCACACUUCAAUGCAUCCAAGUUUUCAGCCAUCAAACCUCAUACAAGAGCUCUAUACUUCAUUCCAAGACACAAACAAAGAGAUCAAAUCCUCUCCCAAGUCCGGAAUCACUUCAAACAAAUUAGUGACUAGAGAGAGAGACUUUUGUGUUCUUUUGAGCUCUUGCGCUUGGAUCGCUUUUCUUCUUCCUCCUUUCUUGUUCUCAACUCAAUUGUAAUCAAAGCAAGAGACACCAAGUUGUGGUGGUCCUUGUAGUGGACUAAGUGUCCUGUUUGAUUGAAGAGAAAAGCUCACUCAGUCUAGGUGACCGUUUGAGAGAGGGAAAGGGUUGAAAGAGACCCGGUCUUUGUGACCACCUCAACGGGGAGUAGGUUUGCAAGAACCGAACCUCGGUAAAACAAAUCAUCGUGUUCAUUCGUUUUAUUUCUUUGUUGAUUUGUUUUCCCUCUCUUUCGGACUCGAUUAUAUUUUUAACGCUAACCCCGACUUGUUGUUGUGCUUAAACUUUAUAAAUUUCAGAUUUGCCUAUUCACCCCCCCUUUAGGUGACUUUUAGUCUCAACACCUCCUCUCUCGUACGAUGCGCUUUACCAUGGAAGAUCCACCGAGUAUAGUCUGGCGUAAAUCUGAUCUUCCAAAUAUGUUCUACCAUGGCCUUCUUUGAUUUUCUUUUCCGGUUGGCACAUUUGCUGCACGGGCAUGGGACUAGACUCGCUCCUUUAGCAGCUUUGCCAUAUGCCCGUUCCACAAAAGCAUCGGUCUUUCUAAUCCAUUCAGGGGUGACAUCAUUCCUACUUACACGGCAUGUGUACAUCCACUCACGGUCUUCCAUCCUCUAACAUAUGUAACCGAGUAUAGUUUAAUAUAAACAUGUAAUGCAUGUACGCUAUGUUCCUACCUUAUAAUAGGUGAGUAUAGUUCUUAAUCUCACUCGCGGUUGCGUAGACGAAGUUAGUUUCCAUGCUCUACUUCGAUCCAAGACAGAGUUCCGGCAGCACCUCCCCGUUGUUCUCCGGAUACACGCCCUAGCAGGUAGAAUGUACUGUCCGGAGAUCAACAUGGAGGUGAAACCGAAACUCUGUCUCGGACCGGAGUAGAGCAUGGAAACUAAUACCAGGGCGACGGUGGAGUAGGGAUAGCGGGGCUGUGGCGGGUCGGUGCAGUGGCGACGUGUCGCAGUGCAGGUUCUAGUGUGGCGGCAAGGAAUACCUCUGCAAAAAAAAAUUAACACAAGUUUAUCAACAAAAAAAUCGGCAGGACUUCCCCUGCACGAGGAGGUUGCAAAAAACCAGCAAAUAAAACUAACAGCACGAUGGCUGACAUCCACACAUAUACUAGCAAAAAAUAGACUUGCGUGUGUUAUUUACAAUUGUGUUAGUUACACACAAUCUAUUGAUGCCAUAUUUGUUGUGUACUAGCGAUUGGCAAGAAGAAUCAACUUUUAGGCACUAAAACAUCUAGUGGGUUCAAAUUAAAGAACUUCUUCUAUUAAUUACAGAACCACCCCAUCGGCCGACCAGGAUCCAAAUUAAAGAACUUCUUCUUCUAUUAAUUAUAGUAUAUUAUAAUUACCAAGUCUCUUCUUAUAUUUACAUGUUCAUUUGCUUGCUUCUUGCAUAACAUAACGGCGAUCGAUGAUGACCAUCGUUAGUUUUAGUCCUACGUGUAUUUGAUUCAAUCCCUCCAUGUUCAUAGUAUAAAUUCAACCAAACCUAAAUAAGUUUCAGUCAGCUUGAUCUUAAAAUUGCAUCAUACACACACAUACAUAGUCUUACUAGAAGUAAGCAAUUUCUUUUAAACUAAUUUCCAGCCAACAUUGAUGAAUGAACUAGAAUGUGGCUAUAACCGAGACCUGUGUGGGUGGUGCUGGAGAUGGGGACGUUGGGCCGAGGCUCACCGGCGUCGAGGCCUGUCCGAAGAUGGCCGACCGCCAGGCCGGGGACGGGGCUCGUUGGAGAUGGCCGGGUCGAGCGACGGUGGGGACGUCGGAGGCAGGGAGGAUGGCCGGCACGGUGUCCGGAGCCGGAGGGGAUGACCGGAGAGGAGGAUGGUCGGCGCUUGCUCCGAUGGCGUUGGCGGCGAGUGGCGUUGGCGGAGGGGACGACUGGUUAGGGCUAUGUACACAGACUUUGCCGAGUGCCAUAUCACGGGCACUCGGCAAAGAUUUUUUUUAAAUUUAAAAAUAAACUUUGCCGAGUGUCACAGAUCACUGACAGGCACUUGGCAAAGAUUGUUUUAAUUUUUUUAAAAAAACUUUACAGAGUGUCCCACGGCAGGCACUCGACAAAGAAUGCUUUACUGACUGCCUUAUUUUGACACUCGACAAAGAAUUCUUUGCCAAGUGCCCGAUAAAAAGCACUUGGCAAAGCACCGAGCACUCGGCAAAGAGCCGGAUUCCGGUGUGGUUGUUUCAUGGAAGUUGUAAGUAGACCAUCUUAACAAGGUCAACAAUAGAAGUACAACUCACAACAUUAGAUACUGCCAAAGUUAAUGUUGAGAGGCUUCGUGAACUCCUUAUGGAUUUACUAGUAGUUGAAAAACCAAUACUGGUUAUCUAUAUGAGCUAUAAUAAUUAAACAUUGGUAAUCAAAGUGAACAAUUCUUAGGUUAACAUGAAGACUACAAAGCAUGUCAAGAACGGUUGAAACUGUUAAAACACUAAGAAACUCUAGAUUAAUUGUGUUGGACUAUGUCCAUACUUCUAAGAAUUUGGUAUGCCAGUUUAUAGAAGAUUUGUCACAUAAUGUGAUAGAUGGUGCAUCGAGAAAGAUGGACUUGAGACCCACUUAAUGCCAUUCCAUAGUAGUAGCAUUUUCUAUGUGAUUGGAGAUCUCAUGAAGUAAAAUGGUGAAAUAAGCUAGAGAAUGACUGAUGGAGAGACUCCUUAAAUAAAAUCUAGGUAAUUUCAUAUGAACAUUUCUCCUUCGAUGUACGAUAGGCUAACUAAAAUCUUAAUAUGAUUUGAGUGACAUAUCUAAGCAGGGAUGUUAUCUUAUAGAACAUCCUAUAAGGAACACACCUAUAUGACUUUGACUACUAAUCACAGUCUAUGAUAUGUGGGAAAUAUUUUUUUACUCAUGAAAGGCCUCGAAGUUUGACUUAUAUGCUUCAAACCAAUGGAUAACUGAUUGAAUCUGUUUCAGACAGCAGCAUAGUUAACUUCAAAAUUCUAUAUCUCCCAAACUUCUCAACCAAAAAUUAUUAAAUUAUGCUGACAGUAAGAACUUUUAUCCCUCUACAAAAGUCUCCAUAGUUGGAAGAGCCAAUUCGGCCAUUUACUAGAUGAAACCUACCAGUUAACAGACCCGCUCAUUUUUGUCAGGCAAACAAGAACCCUUAUAUAUCAAAGAGUAGUGGAUUUGAAUUUGUCUAAUAUGAAGUUUAUGGGCUUGGAUCAUUUAAAGUAUUUUAUAAUUCUGAAAGACAAGAUUAAACUAACUAUGUAUGAUCCUUUAGCACCGUACAGAUGGUCGAUGGGACAGUUACAUGGUUUAUAUAGAUGGACCUAUCUAUAUUCCUUCAGUGGUUGAGAACAAGGUAAAGGUGUGUCACACUCACGCGUGCGCCGCCUCCGCCGAGACGAGGCAUGGCGUUGCAGGGUGAGGCAUGGCAUGGUGCAGCACGAUCGCAGUCAUGGUCGUGGCACAGUGUAGCACUGUUGUGGAUAGAUAGAUAAACUAUUGUUGUAGUUAGAGUGCAUGAGUUUUUGAAUGCAACACUAGAAUUUUCACAAUUUAACUUAAUUAAGAAGUUAUAUCUUGAUGACACAGAGUUACCUGACCAUUGAUCUCACAUGCCCUUUUAGCUCUCUCGUACUCUAGACUUACCCUGACUAUUUAGGUCUCCUGACUCGCCAAUAUAAACACCAUCCUAUCAUUUGCUGUCGAAUACUUCUGUGUCACAACUCAACUGUCAGAUGAGUACUCCAUUACAGCACUGAGCAGGCCUCCGAAAUGAAUAUCUACUCAGAUGAAGGACGACAAUCGUGUUCUAGGGAAAUAUCAGCGACACAACUCCUUACUUCCUCCGCUUCUUCCUAGUGUUUUUUGUUGUGAUUGAGUCGACAUAGCAACAACACUGCACUAUUACAACCAGUACGACUAUAUCAACUAGCAAUGUCUUCCUUAUAUGUUACUAUUUAUUUUGCUCAUAUUCAUUAUGUUUAAAUCACAUAGGCGCCUUUAUGUUGGCAUCAAAAAAUCAGUAUCAACUUUAUAGAUUAAAAUGAAACUAAAAGUACCUAAAUUUCUAUCGGUGGGGAUCGAGUGAUUCUUUAAACCGAUUAUUACACAAGUUAACCACACUAAAAUUAACAAUGGUGAAUCGUGCCAUGAUUUUUUUCUAGUGGAAAAUAGCCAAACCAAGCAACACAUAUGUGGCUAUCGUUACACAUGUGUAAAGGUAUUGCAUCACACCAUUGUCACCCAUGUAUGUGGACAAUACCGAGAGGAAAAACCACUUAUUUAUUGUAUUUUAUCAAGUUUGUCUUGCUUACGUAUAAAUUAUAACCCAACAAAGUAAUCACUAAAUGUCAAAACCAACUAGAUACCAUGUCAUCUCUACCUUAUCUUACUAAUAUUCUUUUUGCAAAAUCCAAAAUUAAUCUUGCACAAGCACAAGGACUGAGAUGUGUAUAAAUAUCUCUUAAAUUAGUAGCUAAUAUAUCGCACAUAUUAUUGAGACCAACUAGCAACAUAGAAAGCACAAUAGUGUACCAACAAUGGCAGCCAAAAUAUUUUGCCUCCUUAUGCUCCUUGGUCUUUCUGCAAGUGCUGCUACGGCGACCAUUUUCCCGCAAUGCUCGCAAGCUCCUAUAGCUUCCCUUCUUCCCCCGUACCUCUCACCAGCGGUGUCUUCGGUAUGUGAAAACCCAAUUCUUCAACCCUACAGGAUCCAACAGGCAAUCGCAGCUGGCAUCUUACCUUUAUCACCCUUGUUCCUCCAACAAUCAUCAGCCCUAUUACAACAGUUACCUUUGGUGCAUUUAUUGGCACAAAACAUCAGGGCACAACAACUACAACAACUUGUGCUAGCAAACCUUGCUGCCUACUCUCAGCAACAGCAGUUUCUUCCAUUCAACCAACUAGGUUCAUUGAACUCUGCUUCUUAUUUGCAACAACAACAACUACCAUUCAGCCAGCUACCUGCUGCCUACCCCCAGCAAUUUCUUCCAUUCAACCAACUAGCAGCAUUGAACUCUCCUGCUUAUUUACAGCAGCAACAACUACUACCAUUCAGCCAGCUAGCUGGUGUGAGCCCUGCUACCUUCUUGACACAACCACAGUUGUUGCCGUUCUACCAGCACGUUGCGCCUAACGCUGGCACCCUCUUACAACUGCAACAAUUGCUGCCAUUCAACCAACUUGCUUUGACAAACCCAGCAGUGUUCUACCAACAACCCAUCAUUGGUGGUGCCCUCUUUUAGAUUUCUUAUGAGUUAUAGUUCAAUAAUAAAGUUUUUUAUCUGAUGUUUGUGGCUUCCCAGAAAUAAGAAAGUACAUUUCUAGAUUCUUAUGUGCUUCUAGUCUUCAAAUGUGGUUGAUAGUUAUUGUUGGGGACUUGUUCUCAAAUGCUAAGAGUUAAGAACAAGGCAACAUAAAAAUGUUAAAUGCUAAAGUCCUUCGUCCUUCGAAGCAUUAUUUCCCUUAGGAUAUAAUGAAUUUCGGACGAAGGCUAUGAAGGACAUACCUUCAUAAGCACAACGAAUGAUGAAGAAGAAUUCAUAUAAAUUAUGAGAUAUAACAUAAACAUUUAAACAUUAUUAUUAACUCAUUUCUAUUGACUUGUCAGGGAAAAAUAGAAAUGAUAAUAAAUUACAAAUAUACCUUCGGCUUGAGAGAAGGUAAAGGUACAAGCGUGAGGCAAAAGCAAAUGCCAAGUCAGCGUGAACAGUACGGGAACACUGUUCAUCUAUUUAUAGGCACGGGACGCAGCCCAUGCAAAAUUACAUCCAGGCCCUUUGCUUUUGACAAUAACUCUAUAGUAAUCUAUCUGGGUCUAGAUAGUCUUUUCCUCUUUAAGUCGGUUUCCUCUUUUCUGCCAUCAUACCGAAGCUCCCUUGCGCACAGCUUCGGCUCUGCUCCAUCCUUCGUAUUGUUUCCGUGCUUCUUCAUACCGUGGGCUCUUGUUCGAAGAUCCCUAUCCACACAUUAUACUCCAGAGGCAUUGUUAAAUCAUGUUUUUGAGGACCUUCGGAAGUCGAAGGCCCCCAACAGUAGCCCCUCGCAAUAUUAAUUUAUUAGAAUGAUAAAUUUAGAUCGCGACAUGGACGAAGGCCUUAAGCCGAAGGUCCGAAAAAACACCUUCCCUUUGCUAGAAUAGCAACAAUCAAUGACAAGCGGGGCCCUUUCCCUUGCAACACACUAGGCGUAUAAAUAAGAGCAUACCGCGAGCGGAUUUGGCACGCUUUUUGCCAUCUGCUCUUGCUCACCCAACUUUUAGCCCUUGCACACCAACACCUGCUUGGCCUUUUUUUAAAAAAAUUUAAGCUUCGGUUUCGAGAGCACUUUCUCAGCAUUUUCGAAGAUGUCUGAAGAUAAGAAAGUUGUCGCUGAGUCGAAGCUGAGACUUUCUGAGGAGAUGAAUCUCGGCUUUCUUGAAUCAAUAGCGAAGACAAAUACAGAGAAGAUUACUAGGGAGAUUUUAGAAGGUUUAUCUGAAGACACUGGUGACAGUGACAGUUAUGAUGUGGAAAGUGGUGGUGAAGAUUCCGAAGAUCGACCCUGGUGACCAAGCCAUGCAGUUUUUGGAAAAUCAAGCAUUAAACUAAGCCAUCUUGUUAAUAUGAGGGGCAGAUAUUUUCGGGAUUUAUCUAUUGUGAGGGCUGAUGAAGGAGAAAAAACUUGUCCUACUCCUGAGGAAAAUGAAGUCGUGAUAUUCCGAAGCUUCUUCAAGGCUGGGCUUCGGUUUCCUUUAAGCGGUUUCGUGGUUGAAGUUUUGAAGAUUUUUGAAAUCUACCUCCAUCAAAUUACUCCUGAAGCAAUCAUAAGGAUGGGAAUCUUCGUAUGGGCUGUGAAGAGCCAAGGUUUGGAGCCGAAUGCAAAAAGUUUCUGCAAUAUGCAUGAGCUAUUAUACGAGACGAAACCUUGGGGUAAAGAGAAAUAUCAUAACAAUUUUGGCUGCUACAGCUUCGGCGCCCGCUCUGGGUCAAGCUGUCCCGUGCCAACUUUUUGGAAGAGAUGGCCCGGGGACUCGAUGAAGGAAUGGUGUUAUGUAAAAAACGACUUGAAAACGCGAGAAGGUAUUAAAGAUAUCAUCAUGCGCCCCAUCUGGCAGCGUUUCGGCCUUCGGAAACCGAAGGUGGAUAUUGACGAAGCAACCGAAGAAUGCCAGAGGGCCUUCGGCGUAGUUUGCUCUUUCAUCGGGACAAGGGAUUUGAUCCAGGAACAUAUUUCCUUCAGAGUAUGGCCACUUGUAGAAAAGUGGGAAAUGCCGAAGGAAACCAUCAGCAAACCUGAUGAAGUGGACUAGUUAGGUUAAAAUAUACCUUCAGAUAUGGAGAUAAGUUUGUGGAGCCAGAUGAUGACUGGCUGAAAUGUAUUGAGGCCACAAGCGAUGAACUGCUUGGGCCAUAUUCGAAGACAGAAGAUACUGCACUGUCCGCGGCCUUCGGAGGUCGGAAGAAGAGACUCAACCGAGUGUUUGAUGCCAUUGGGUUCGUCUAUCCUGACUACCGUUACCCAACACAGGGUCAGAAAGGGAAAGAUACGACUUCUGUGAAGAAAGUUGCUUCAGCCGCUCCUAGUGAGCCGGCGCCGAAGAGGAAAAAGAUGAAGGUUCUUACGCACCGGCCACGCUAUAUUGAACCGGCCACAGUGCCUGAGUUUGUCGGUGAGACCUCUUCGGCCACCGAAGCCAAGGAGCCGACUCUCCUGCCGAAUAUUGAAGAGCCGGCCAAAAUGCCGGCAAUGGAAAAAAUAGAAGAACCGAGGGCUGAAGAGACAAAGACAUCGGAAAAGAAUGGUUAACGUGCUAAUGCCGAAUAUUGAAGUCCUUCAGCAAGAAUCGAGGUGCUAAUGCCAAUGCCGAUGGCACAAAAAGACCUUACGACAACCCCCAAGAGGAAAAGAAUGGUUAACGUGCUAGAUGUACUGGAAACGAUAAAAUCUUCAAGCUCUACUCCGAAGAUAGCUACUGAAGUUCCAAAGACACAAACUGAGGCCAAAGCUGCCAAAAGUCAAGCGGAAACUGAAACUGGGCUUUCAGAGCCUACCAAGAGGGAAUUCUUGGAAAUUGAAAAAGAAACGGAAAAAGAAUCUGCAGAAGAAACUUUUUCUGAGAAAAUCGUCACACAUAUUCCCGAAGCAUCUUCUGAAGCUUCUGACUAUGUAUUACGUCAUGCUUCGGGUAAAAAUCUGAGCGAAAAAGAAAAAAGAGAAGCUCAAUUCUAUGCGCAAAAAUUGAAAUAUCCAAAAGGGGCGCUGAUAUUCAACGGCAGCGGAGAAGAAGACUUCUUGUAUUGUCUCCCUCAUAGCAAGGAGAUUUCUGUCUGUCGGGAGAUGAGCAAAAGCUUCGGAUUCCCAACAUUAGAAGACGGGCUCUUGGUGUUGUCAAAGGACGAGCUAGCCGACAGCUUAGCGUAUAAUAGUUUAAAGGUGAAGAAAAUGAGAUCUUUGUAUUAUUUCUUGAAACCAAAAUUUUUCAUUUGCUUAAACUUAUUAACGCAUUUUUUUACAGGGUCUUAUACUUAGCAAUGCCCUCAGGGCACAAAAGAAUGACGAAGACGAAGGGUGCGCCAUAGCCCUGAGCAACCUUCGUUCCGAAGUAAUUGAUCUAAGGAACGAAGGUCUCGAAAAAGAUAAAAUAUUACAUUCGUUGGUGAAUAAAAUAAAAGAAGAUGAAGCUACUUUCAAAGCUCAAGCUGAGGCUCAGAAGCACGAAAUUGAGAAUCUUCGGAAACAACUAGCCAGAGCUACAGAAGAAUACACAAUUGAAGAAACAAAACGAGAAAUUAGUGAACAAUGGGCAAAUCAUUUAGAAAAAAACGUUGAAGAGCUUCGUGCGUCCAAGAAAAGGUGUUAUGAAAAAUCUAUAGAAUGUGUUAAGAAAAUAAGAACCAGCUUCACCAACGUUGGCGCGUUUUCAAGUGAAGAAAAUUUCAUGAGGGGUGACCCCGAAAGCCCAAUUGGAUGGAUCAGCCACGAAGCUGAAGCUUUUGAAUAGCCGUGGAGACAUAUGUGCCUUCUCGGGUGCCAGGGGGAUUGCCGCUGUUUUGGAGAAGAAAGGUUGCGAUCACGUGAAAUCCCUGGCACAGACCGAAGCCGUUUUAUCCUCUGAAGACAUAAAAGACCCUUCGGCCGAGGCGAGUUUGGUUGGUGGGAAAUUUUUCACCGACAUCUGGGAAAACGGUGGCCGGGAGAUGGCUCAAGAAAUUAUACGGAGAAGCGAGAAUGGUAUACAUGACGCUAGAAAAGUAGCAGAGGCCGCUGAGAAAAGUGUGGAUCUCGAAGGGCGAAUAGGUAUUAACUAGUAAUUUUUGGCUUUUUGUUGUAACCUUUUGAUUUUGAACUUGUUUACACUUUGUAACAUGGUCGCACCUUCUCCUCCCUCAGAGCCUGCCGAGCCAUCGACAGACCCCCACGUAAAGGGGGAUGACGAGAUUAGAAGAAUGGCUGAAGCUAUCAUGGACAAAGUUGUUGAUCAAUUACUAAACGAAGCUGCAGAAAUAGUUCUAAGGGAAGAUUAGAUGUUAUUGUAAAAACAUUUGGAAUGUAAUAUUUGUUGAACAAUAUGUGUAAUAUUUUGUAACUUUGAAUGUAAUAUAUAAUCUAUUUGUGGUUCAAUUCUUUACGAUGCAUGAAACUUUACAUACAUACCGUUUUUGAGCCUUCGGCGAAAAAACACCUUCCCUUCUUUUCAUGCUUCGUAAAUAAUAUCCGUAUAUCAUAAAAACAUCCAAUUUUCGUAAAAUCAGUAACCAAUAGAUCUUUUUAUUUCAUAAAAACAUCCAAUCUUCGUAAAAUCAGUAACCAAUCUUCGUAAAGGCAUGCUUCUUCAAUAAUUAUUUUUGUGCCUUGGCACUGUUUCUUCGAAACAAUCUCCGAAUAUCAACAUUGAAACCCCCUUCUUGCGUCAUUGAUGCAAUAUGAUGUAUGAUGUUAUGCUAUGCAAAUGAUGUGAUGAUGUGAUGUUAUGCAAAAUGAUAUUUGCCGAAGAUCAACGUUUAUUUUUCACUGCAAGCCUCCCUUAGGAGCUUCUUCGCCUUUUACUUCAGCGGAAUCAGCAUUUAUUUUUCGCUGUAAGCCUCCCUUAGGAGCUUCUUCGCCUUUUACUUUCAGCGGAAUCAGCGUUUAUUUUUUGCUGUAAGCCUCCCUUAGGAGCUUCUUCGCCUUUUACUUUCAGCGGAAUCAGCGUUUAUUUUUCGCUGUAAGCUCUGCAUUCCCUUCGGAACGACUUUUGAGCAGAAAACUUACGCUGCGCUCCCUUAGGAACGACUUUUUGUUAUUUCGGAGAUUCUCCUUGUAACCAUAAAUUCUUAUGCUUCGGCAACUCUGUUAUUUUGUGGAGAAGGUAUAUUUUUACUGUGGCGAAAACGAAGCUAUUACAAGAAAUUGAAAACGACAAAAAGCACUUAGGCUUUCAAUAAUUGUUCCUUAUUAAAAAGAAAAUGAUACUGAAUGUAAAAACUACUGCCGAGGUAGGAUAUUUGUUAGUAAAUAUGCUUCGAUUCUGGCACAGUACUAUUGACUGUGCGAGCUUCGGACUCUUCUCUAAAGUCCCGUUGAAGGUGGAUAUGCUGACUCCCUUCUGGCUGCUGGCUUUGUUGCAUUGGUGGUGGAGGUGGAGGCUGCUGCCAAGAUGCCUGAGGUUGGCUUGCCGAAGCAACAGAAGCUGCAGGGUGGUUGCCUACAUACUCUGGAAUGUAAGGCGAAUGGUAUGAAGCAGUGUGCAUAACUUGCUUCGGCUGGCUCUGUUGGGCUGCAGCUUCUGCUAUCUCCUUUUGUUUCUGGAUGGUAACAUGGCACAUCCUGGUGGUAUGGCCCUUGUCCUCUCCACAGAAUAGGCAAUAGAUCUUCCUGGGCUGAUCCCCAAAUCUUCCUCCGAAGCCCCUGGCACCUCUACCCCUUGGAGCUGGAGGCCGAGGAUAGCUCUGCUGCUGCCCCGAAGCCUGGGAGGAAUAUUGCGGCCUCUGCUGCUGGCUUCCCCUGUCAUCAUUCUGAGUGUUAUGAAUCGAUCUGACAUGUCUAGGGUGAACUCUCCCUCCGAAGCCACUGGCUAUUUUGGAGAACCUGUAAGCUUCCUCCCUUCUCUAUCGGAAGUCGUUGUCAGCGCGGAUGUAUUCGUCCAUCUUCUGAAGCAGUUUCUCCAGAGUCUGAGGGGGCUUCCUGGCAAAGUACUGGGCUGAAGGUCCUGGCCGAAGCCCCUUAAUCAUGGCCUCAAUGACAAUUUCAUUGGGCACUGUUGGUGCUUGUGCCCUCAGGCGUAAGAACCUUCGGACAUACGCCUGAAGAUAUUCUCCGUGGUCUUGGGUGCACUGGAAUAAGUCUUGAGCGGUGACCGGCUUCGUUUGAAACCCUUAGAAACUGGUGAUCAGCAUAUCCUUCAGCUUCUGCCAUGAUGUGAUUGUUCCUGGCCGAAGGGAGGAGUACCAGGUUUGUGCAACAUUCUUGACGGCCAUGACGAAAGACUUCGCCAUGACUGCAAUAUUGCCACCAUAGGAAGAUAUCGUUGCUUCGUAGCUCAUCAGAAACUGCUUCAGAUCUGAGUGUCCGUUGUACAUGGGGAGUUGAGGUGGCUUGUAAGACGGAGGCCAAGGUGUAGCCUGCAGUUCUGGUGAUAGAGGAGAAGCAUCGUCAAAAGCAAAAUUUCCAUGAUGGAAAUCCUCAUACCAGUCAUCCUCGUUGACGAAGCCCUCUUGGUGGAGCUCUCUGUACUGGGGCCUCCGGUUCUAUUCAUCUUGCGUAAGAUGACGAACCUCUUUAGAGGCUUUGUCUAUCUGCCUUUGUAGGUCAGCUAGCCGGGCCAUCUUUUCUUUCUUCUUUUGCACUUGUUGAUGCAGCAUUUCCAUGUUCCUGAUUUCUUGGUCCAAAUCGUCCUCCUGAGGCGUUGGACUGGUGGCCUUCCUCUUCUGGCUUCGGGCUUCCCGAAGAGAGAGAGUCUCCUGGUUCGUGUCCAGCGGCUGCAGAGCCGCAGCCCCUGUUGCUGAAGCUUUCUUUGGCGGCAUGACAAAGGUCGAUGCUUGCCGAAGGUGUUCGAAACUCAAAAAGUGGAAGUGAGUUCACCGGAGGUGGGCACUAAUGUUGGGGACUUGUUCUCAAAUGCUAAGAGUUAAGAACAAGGAAACAUAAAAAUGUUAAAUGCUAAAGUCCUUAGUCCUUCGAAGCAUUAUUUCCCUUAGGAUAUAAUGAAUUUCGGACGAAGGUUAUGAAGGACAUACCUUCAUAAGCACAACGAAUGAUGAAGAAGAAUUCAUAUAAAUUAUGAGAUAUAACAUAAACAUUUAAACAUUAUUAUUAACUCAUUUCUAUUGACUUGUCAGGGAAAAAUAGAAAUGAUAAUAAAUUACAAAUAUACCUUCGGCUUGAGAGAAGGUAAAGGUACAAGCGUGAGGCAAAAGCAAAUGCCAAGUCAGCGUGAAUAGUACGGGAACACUGUUCAUCUAUUUAUAGGCACGGGACGCAGCCCAUGCAAAAUUACAUCCAGGCCCUUUGCUUUUGACAAUAACUCUAUAGUAAUCUAUCUGGGUCUAGAUAGUCUUUUCCUCUUUAAGUCGGUUUCCUCUUUUCUGCCAUCAUGCCGAAGCUCCCUUGCGCACAACUUCUGCUCUGCUCCAUCCUUCGUAUUGUUUCCGUGCUUCUUCAUACCAUGGGCUCUUGUUCGAAGAUCCCUGUCCACACAUUAUACUCCAGAGGCAUUGCUAAAUCAUGUUUUUGAGGACCUUCGGAAGCCGAAGGCCCCCAACAGUUAUUUUGCUCUAAGAUCGGCAGUAAUGAAGUAUAAAUCAUCGUUGUGGUGUGCUACUCGGUUAAUUGAGCAUUAACACACACAAACAUGACGAGGAUGGUAUAAUCUCCAAAAAUGUGUACUUUGUUAGGUGGGACCCUAUAGCCUUGCAGAAUGUGCUAUGUUAGGCAUGCCUGGAAACGUGUGACGCAUACGUUUUGUGAACCUGUUCAUAUUAUAUGUGCUUUUAUAUUAUCGUAUUUUAUUAAAAUACUAAUAUUUAUUACUAGUAAGAUAUAACAUUCUAUCUAGCUUAAAAACUAACCAUAAAUAUUCCAUAAUAACUAGAUUUACCAAACUAAUAUACUAAAUAUACAUAAUAAAUACAAAAUUAACAAGACAAUAAUCAAUAUUUAUGAGCUUAAUAUAUUUAGACAUUAUGGUUGGUCGACGAUAAUCAUGCUAACUUUCCGUAAUUGCUUGAUUGUAAAUAUGCUUAGAAUAAUGCCUCUUUGUUCUACAUGGCAAAUAGGGACCAUUAUGGUGUAACACCCUGGGAUCCACAAACACCCUGAAAUGCUACUAAACUACACAACUAACCUUCAUAUAUUAAAUUUCGACAGCAUCUCCUUUGAAAAUUUGUAUAAACGUGGAAGCAACAGAGUAUAAACAGAUAUGAUGAUAAGGAAACAUAAUAGACAUUAAUAAUCUGCUAGAAAUGGGAAGAUAACCAUAACGACAUAAACUGAAUUAACUAGUGUGCACGGCAUGUUAAAAACAAACAUCGUUGACAAGAAGUUUCUAAUUAAAUCAUGGCUGUGCCUAGGCAGCGUUAUUAUAUGAGUGAAGGUGGACGUGAUGCUACUUCCCUCAUUCCCAACAUGAAUCAAGUACCUGUAUUGAGUAAUGCAAGAGUGAGAUGAAAACAUCUCAGCAAGUAAAUUGUUUUGACGAGAUAUUUAAACCAAAAAAAUUUGAUUUAAUCAACAUUUUAAAGGGAUCACAAUUGAGAUCAGACAUACUUGUAGAUAUAAAACUCAAUAGUCCCAAAAUAACCAAUGCCAUCUCAUUUCCACAAACAACCACAAUAGGUUGUAUAACACUUCCCUGCGUCAUCAAUACCUGCAAAUAUCACUUCAAUGUAUGCAUAGGAAUGCAAUGUUUAAGUCCUCUGCAUUCAUACUUCUUAGAGUAUAAAACCACACCAUCUGCAAAUAUCACUUCAAUGAAUGCAUAUGAAUGCAAUGCAUAUGUCCUCUGCCUUCAUACCUCUAAGGGUAUGAAGACGCAUCGUACCCCUCCUCGGGCAACGUACGAUGCUAAGUUGUACCGGUACGGUCGGACCAUAGGUCACGACAAAACUUCAGAUGCAAGUGAAUCAUGACAUGUAUAUGGCAUGCUGCAUUUAUCAAUAUACUACACUUCCUUCACAUACAAUACAAACCUCAAAUAAUACUUCGUUUACCUUCAGAUACAAUACAAACCUCAAAUAAUACUUCAUUCACCUUCAGGGGUGUUUAUUAAUCUCGUGGGUCAUACUCAAAUCAUCAUCAUCAUCAAUGAUGUUUAAGCAUCAGUAUAAUACAAUCAAGUAAAGCAUCACCAUAGAGUUCAAUUAUGAAAGAAUUCGAUGAUUCUGAAUAUUAGAGUGUAUGCGAUGAAACAACAAAGUCAAAACGGUAGCAACCACCGCUACAUUCACUUGCCUUCAUCGAAGAAGAAAAAGGUACUAGGCAUGAUUCGGAGUGUAGACACCUGCUGUGGGGCUUAAAACUUAGUACAAAUAUUCCACAAACAUUUGCCAACAACUAACAAAUCGCUCCUACACUUGUAACCAAGACCCGGUGGAAUGACUCCCACCCUGAACCACAUGUCAAACAGCAGGAGUGCUGUUUGUUAAUUUUGUAUCUUUAAAAUUAUAACAGUGGUGAUAUCAAACAAAUACUCUAGAAGUUUCUACACAAAAUACUCUACAACUUCGGUAUUCAAUGGAUAAUUAAAUUUUGCCAUCUAUAAGUUCUAAAACAUCUGACAAGAUAACUGACAGAAUCUGUUUCAGACAGCAGCAUAGUUAACUUCAAAAUUCGAUAUCUCCCAAACUCCUCAACCAAAAUUUAUGAAAUUAUGUUGACAGUAAGAACUUUUAUCCCUCUACAAAAGUCUCCAUAGUUGGAAGAGCCAAUUCGGCCAUUUACUAGAUGAAACCUACCAUUUAACAGACCCGCUCAUUUUUGUCAGGCAAACAAGAACCCUUAUAUAUCAAAGAGUAGUGGAUUUGAAUUUGUCUAAUAUGAAGUUUAUGGGCUUGGAUCAUUUAAAGUAUUUUAUAAUUCUGAAAGACAAGAUUAAACUAACUAUGUAUGAUCCUUUAGCACCGUACAGAUGGUCGAUGGGACAGUUACAUGGUUUAUAUAGAUGGACAUAUCUAUAUUCCUUCAGUGGUUGAGAAAAAGGUAAAGGUGUGUCACACUCACGCGUGCACUGCCUCCGCCGAGACGAGGCAUGGCGUUGCAAGGUGAGGCAUGGCAUGGUGCAGCACGAUCGUAUACAUGGUCGUGGCACAGUGUAGCACUGUUGUGGAUAGAUAGAUAAACUUUUGUUGUAGUUAGAGUGCAUGAGUUUUUGAAUGCAACACAAGAAUUUUCACAAUUUAACUUAAUUAAGAAGUUAUAUCUUGAUGACACAGAGUUACCUGACCAUUGAUCUCACAUGCCCUUUUAGCUCUCUCGUUCUCUAGACUCACCCUGACUAUUUAGGUCUCCUGACUCGCCAAUAUAAACACCAUCCUAUCAUUUGCUCUCGAAUACUUCUGUGUCACAACUCAACUGUCAGAUGAGUACUCCAUUACAGCACUGAGCAGGCCUCCGAAAUGAAUAUCUACUCAGAUGAAGGACGACAAUCGUGUUCUAGGGAAAUAUCAGCGACACAACUCCUUACUUCCUCCGCUUCUUCCUAGUGUUUUUUGUUGUGAUUGAGUCGACAUAGCAACAACACUGCACUAUUACAACCAGUACGACUAUAUCAACUAGCAAUGUCUUCCUUAUAUGUUACUAUUUAUUUUGCUCAUAUUCAUUAUGUUUAAAUCACAUAGGCGCCUUUAUGUUGGCAUCAAAAAAUCAGUAUCAACUUUAUAGAUUAAAAUGAAACUAAAAGUACCUAAAUUUCUAUCGGUGGGGAUCGAGUGAUUCUUUAAACCGAUUAUUACACAAGUUAACCACACUAAAAUUAACAAUGGUGAAUCGUGCCAUGAUUUUUUUCUAGUGGAAAAUAGCCAAACCAAGCAACACAUAUGUGGCUAUCGUUACACAUGUGUAAAGGUAUUGCAUCACACCAUUGUCACCCAUGUAUUUGGACAAUACCGAGAGGAAAAACCACUUAUUUAUUGUAUUAUAUCAAGUUUGUCUUGCUUACGUAUAAAUUAUAACCCAACAAAGUAAUCACUAAAUGUCAAAACCAACUAGAUACCAUGUCAUCUCUACCUUAUCUUACUAAUAUUCUUUUUGCAAAAUCCAAAAUUAAUCUUGCACAAGCACAAGGACUGAGAUGUGUAUAAAUAUCUCUUAAAUUAGUAGCUAAUAUAUCGCACAUAUUAUUGAGACCAACUAGCAACAUAGAAAGCACAAUAGUGUACCAACAAUGGCAGCCAAAAUAUUUUGCCUCCUUAUGCUCCUUGGUCUUUCUGCAAGUGCUGCUACGGCGACCAUUUUCCCGCAAUGCUCGCAAGCUCCUAUAGCUUCCCUUCUUCCCCCGUACCUCUCACCAGCGGUGUCUUCGGUAUGUGAAAACCCAAUUCUUCAACCCUACAGGAUCCAACAGGCAAUCACAGCUGGCAUCUUACCUUUAUCACCCUUGUUCCUCCAACAAUCAUCAGCCCUAUUACAUCAGUUACCUUUGGUGCAUUUAUUGGCACAAAACAUCAGGGCACAACAACUACAACAACUUGUGCUAGCAAACCUUGCUGCCUACUCUCAGCAACAGCAGUUUCUUCCAUUCAACCAACUAGCUGCAUUGAACUCUGCUUCUUAUUUGCAACAACAACAACUACCAUUCAGCCAGCUACCUGCUGCCUACCCCCAGCAAUUUCUUCCAUUCAACCAACUGGCAGCAUUGAACUCUCCUGCUUAUUUACAGCAGCAACAACUACUACCAUUCAGCCAGCUAGCUGGUGUGAGCCCUGCUACCUUCUUGAUACAACCACAGUUGUUGCCGUUCUACCAGCACGCUGCGCCUAACGCUGGCACCCUCUUACAACUGCAACAAUUGCUGCCAUUCAACCAACUUGCUUUGACAAACCCAGCAGCGUUCUACCAACAACCCAUCAUUGGUGGUGCCCUCUUUUAGAUUUCUUAUGAGUUAUAGUUCAAUAAUAAAGUUUUUUGUCUGAUGUUUGUGGCUUCCCAGAAAUAAGAAAGUACAUUUCUAGAUUCUUAUGUGCUUCUAGUCUCCAAAUGUGGUUGAUAGUUAUUUUGCUCUAAGAUCGACAGUAAUGAAGUAUAAAUCAUCGUUGUGGUGUGCUACUCGGUUAAUUGAGCAUUAACACACACAAACAUGACGAGGAUGGUAUAAUCUCCAAAAAUAUGUACUUUGUUAGGUGGGACCCUAUAGCCUUGCAUAAUGUGCUAUGUUAGGCAUGCCUGGAAACGUGUGACGCAUAUGUUUUGUGAACCUGUUGAUAUUAUAUGUGCUUUUAUAUUACCAUAUUUUAUUAAAAUACUAAUAUUUAUUACUAGUAAGAUAUAACAUUCUAUCUAGCUUAAAAACUAACCAUAAAUAUUCCAUAAUAACUAGAUUUACCAAACUAAUAUACUAAAUAUACAUAAUAAAUACAAAAUUAACAAGACAAUAAUCAAUAUUUAUGAGCUUAAUAUAUUUAGACAUUAUGGUUGGUCGACCAUAAUCAUGCUAACUUUUCGUACUUGCUUGAUUGUAAAUAUGCUUAGAAUAAUGCCUCUUUGUUCUACAUGGCAAAUAGGGACCAUUAUGGUGUAACACCCUGGGAACCACAAACACCCCGAAAUGCUACUAAACUACACAACUAACCUUCAUAUAUAAAAUUUCGACAGCAUCUCCUUUGAAAAUUUGCAUAAACGUGGAAGCAACAGAGUAUAAACAGAUAUCAUGAUAAGGAAACAUACUAGACAUUAAUAAUCUGCUAGAAAUGGGAAGAUAACCAUAACGACAUAAACUGAAUUAACUAGUGUGCACAACUUGUUUAAAACAAACAUCAUUGACAAGAAGUUUCUAAUUAAAUCAUGGCUGUGCCUGGGUAGCGUUAUUAUGAGAGUGAAGGUGGACGUGAUGCUACUUCCCUCAUUCCCAACAUGAAUCAAGUACCUGCAUUGAGUAAUGCAAGAGUGAGAUGAAAACAUCUCAGCAAGUAAAUUGUUUUGACGAGAUAUUUAAAGCAAAAAAAUUUGAUUUACUCAACAUUUUAAAGGGAUCACAAUUGAGAUCAGAAAUACUUGUAGAUAUAGAACUCAAUAGUCCCAAAAUAACCAGUGCCAUCUCAUUUCCUCAAACAACCACAAUAGGUUGUAUAACACUUCCCUGCGUCAUCAAUACCUGCAAAUAUCACUUCAAUGUAUGCAUAGGAAUGCAAUGUUUAAGUCCUCUGCAUUCAUACUUCUUAGAGUAUAAAACCACACCAUCUGCAAAUAUCACUUCAAUGAAUGCAUAUGAAUGCAAUGCAUAUGUCCUCUGCCUUCAUACCUCUAAGGGUAUGAAGCCGAAUCGUACCCCUCCUCGGGCAACGUACGAUGCUAAGUUGUACCGUUACGGUCGGACCAUAGGUCACGACAAAACUUCAUAUGCAAGUGAAUCAUGACAUGUAUAUGGCUUGCUGCAUUUAUCAAUAUACUUCACUUCCUUCAUAUACAAUACAAACCUCAAAUAAUACUUCGUUUACCUUCAGAUACAAUACAAACCUCAAAUAAUACUUCAUUCACCUUCAGGGGUGUUUAUUAAUCUCGUGGGUCAUACUCGAAUCAUCAUCAUCAUCAAUGAUGAUUAAGCAUCAGUAUAAUACAAUCAAGUAAAGCAUCACCAUAGAGUUCAAUUAUGAAAGAAUUCGAUGAUUCUGAAUAUUAGAGUGUAUGCGAUGAAACAACAACGUCAAAACGGUAGCAACCACCGCUACAUUCACUUGCCUUCAUCGAAGAAGAAAAACAUACUAGGCAUGAUUCAGAGUGUAGACACCUGCUGUGGGGCUUAAAACUUAGUACAAAUAUUCCACAAACAUUUGCCAACAAUUAACAAAUCGCUCCUACACUUGAAACCAAGACCCGGUGGAAUGACUCCCACCCUGAACCACAUGCCAAACAAUAGUAGUGUUGUUUGUUAAUUUUGUAUCUUUAAAAUUAUAACAGUGGUGAUAUCAAACAAAUACUCCAGAAGUUUCUACACAAAAUACUCUACAACUUUGGUAUUCAAUGGAUAAUUAAAUUUUGCCAUCUAUAAGUUCUAAAACAUCUGAUAAGAUAACUGACUGAAUUUGUUUCAGACAACAGCAUAGUUAACUUCAAAAUUCGAUAUCUCCCAAACUCCUCAACCAAAAAUUAUGAAAUUAUUCUGACAGUAAGAACUUUUUUCCCUCUACAAAAGUAUCUAUAGUUGGAAGAGCCAAUUCGGCCAUUUACUAGAUGAAACCUACCAGUUAACAGACCCGCUCAUUUUUGUCAGGCAAACAAGAACCCUUAUAUAUCAAAGAGUAGUGGAUUUGAAUUUGUCUAAUAUGAAGUUUAUGGGCUUGGAUCAUUUAAAGUAUUUUAUAAUUCUGAAAGACAAGAUUAAACUAACUAUGUAUGAUCCUUUAGCACUGUACAGAUGGUCGAUGGGACAGUUACAUGGUUUAUAUAGAUGGACCUAUCUAUAUUCCUUCAGUGGUUGAGAAAAAGGUAAAGGUGUGUCACACUCACGUGUGCGCCGCCUCUACCGAGAUGAGGCAUGGCGUUGCAAGGUGAGGCAUGGCAUGGUGCAGCACGAUCGUAUACAUGGUCGUGGCACAGUGUAGCACUGUUGUGGAUAGAUAGAUAAACUUUUGUUGUAGUUAGAGUGCAUGAGUUUUUGAAUGCAACACAAGAAUUUUCACAAUUUAACUUAAUUAAGAAGUUAUAUCUUGAUGACACAGAGUUACCUGACCAUUGAUCUCACAUGCCCUUUUAGCUCUCUCGUUCUCUAGACUCACCCUGACUAUUUAGGUCUCCUGACUCGCCAAUAUAAACACCAUCCUAUCAUUUGCUCUCGAAUACUUCUGUGUCACAACUCAACUGUCAGAUGAGUACUCCAUUACAGCACUGAGCAGGCCUCCGAAAUGAAUAUCUACUCAGAUGAAGGACGACAAUCGUGUUCUAGGGAAAUAUCGGUGACACAACUCCUUACUUCCUCCGCUUCUUCCUAGUGUUUUUUGUUGUGAUUGAGUCGACACAGCAACAACACUGCACUAUUACAACCAGUACGACUAUAUUAACUAGCAAUGUCUUCCUUAUAUGUUACUAUUUAUUUUGCUCAUAUUCAUUAUGUUUAAAUCACAUAGGCACCUUUUUGUUGGCAUCAAAAAAUUAGUAUCAACUUUCUAGAUUAAAGUGAAACUAAAAGUACCUAAAUUUCUAUCGGUGGGGAUCGAGUGAUUCUUUAAACCAAUUAUUACGCAAGUUAACCACACUAAAAUUAACAUUGGUGAACCGUGCCAUGAUUUUUUCUAAUGGAAAAUAGCCAAACCAAGCAACACAUAUGUGGCUAUCGUUACACAUGUGUAAAGGUAUUGCAUCACACCAUUGUCACCCAUGUAUUUGGACAAUACCGAGAGGAAAAACCACUUAUUUAUUGUAUUUUAUCAAGUUUGUCUUGCUUACGUAUAAAUUAUAACCCAACAAAGUAAUCACUAAAUGUCAAAACCAACUAGAUACCAUGUCAUCUCUACCUUAUCUUACUAAUAUUCUUUUUGCAAAAUCCAAAAUUAAUCUUGCACAAGCACAAGGACUGAGAUGUGUAUAAAUAUCUCUUAAAUUAGUAGCUAAUAUAUCACACAUAUUAUUGAGACCAACUAGCAACAUAGAAAGCACAAUAGUGUACCAACAAUGGCAGCUAAAAUAUUUUGCCUCCUUAUGCUCCUUGGUCUUUCUGCAAGUGCUGCUACGGCGACCAUUUUCCCACAAUGCUCACAAGCUCCUAUAGCUUCCCUUCUUCCCCCGUACCUCUCACCAACGGUGUCUUCGGUAUGUGAAAACCCAAUUCUUCAACCCUACAGGAUCCAACAGGCAAUCGCAGCUGGCAUCUUACCUUUAUCACCCUUGUUCCUCCAACAAUCAUCAGCCCUAUUACAGCAGUUACCUUUGGUGCAUUUAUUGGCACAAAACAUCAGGGCACAACAACUACAACAACUUGUGCUAGCAAACCUUGCUGCCUACUCUCAGCAACAGCAGUUUCUUCCAUUCAACCAACUAGCUGCAUUGAACUCUGCUUCUUAUUUGCAACAACAACAACUACCAUUCAGCCAGCUAUCUGCUGCCUACCCCCAGCAAUUUCUUCCAUUCAACCAACUGACAGCAUUGAACUCUCCUGCUUAUUUACAGCAGCAACAACUACUACCAUUCAGCCAGCUAGCUGGUGUGAGCCCUGCUACCUUCUUGACACAACCACAGUUGUUGCCGUUCUACCAGCACGCUGCGCCUAACGCUGGCACCCUCUUACAACUGCAACAAUUGCUGCCAUUCAACCAACUUGCUUUGACAAACCCAGCAGCAUUCUACCAACAACCCAUCAUUGGUGGUGCCCUCUUUUAGAUUUCUUAUGAGUUAUAGUUCAAUAAUAAAGUUUUUUGUCUGAUGUUUGUGGCUUCCCAGAAAUAAGAAAGUACAUUUCUAGAUUCUUAUGUGCUUCUAGUCUCCAAAUGUGGUUGAUAGUUAUUUUGCUCUAAGAUCAACAGUAAUGAAGUAUAAAUCAUCGUUGUGGUGUGCUACUCGGUUAAUUGAGCAUUAACACACACAAACAUGACGAGGAUGGUAUAAUCUCCAAAAAUGUGUACUUUGUUAGGUGGGACCCUAUAGCCUUGAUUAAUGUGCUAUGUUAGGCAUGCCUGGAAACGUGUGACGCAUAUGUUUUGUGAACCUGUUGAUAUUAUAUGUGCUUUUAUAUUACCAUAUUUUAUUAAAAUACUAAUAUUUAUUACUAGUAAGAUAUAACAUUCUAUCUAGCUUAAAAACUAACCAUAAAUAUUCCAUAAUAACUAGAUUUACCAAACUAAUAUACUAAAUAUACAUAAUAAAUACAAAAUUAACAAGACAAUAAUCAAUAUUUAUGAGCUUAAUAUAUUUAGACAUUAUGGUUGGUCGACGAUAAUCAUGCUAACUUUUCGUAAUUGCUUGAUUGUAAAUAUGCUUAGAAUAAUGCCUCUUUGUUCUACAUGGCAAAUAGGGACCAUUAUGGUGUAACACCCUGGGAACCACAAACACCCCGAAAUGCUACUAAACUACACAACUAACCUUCAUAUAUAAAAUUUCGACAGCAUCUCCUUUGAAAAUUUGCAUAGACGUGGAAGCAACAGAGUAUAAACAGAUAUCAUGAUAAGAAAACAUACUAGACAUUAAUAAUCUGCUAGAAAUGGGAAGAUAACCAUAACGACAUAAACUGAAUUAACUAGUGUGCACAACUUGUUAAAAACAAACAUCGUUGACAAGAAGUUUCUAAUUAAAUCAUGGUUGUGCCUGGGCAGCGUUAUUAUGAGAGUGAAGGUGGACGUGAUGCUACUUCCCUCAUUCCCAACAUGAAUCAAGUACCUGCAUUGAGCAAUGCAAGAGUGAGAUGAAAACAUCUCAGCAAGUAAAUUGUUUUGACGAGAUAUUUAAACCAAAAAAAUUUGAUUUACUCAACAUUUUAAAGGGAUCACAAUUGAGAUCAGAAAUACUUGUAGAUAUAGAACUCAAUAGUCCCAAAAUAACCAGUGCCAUCUCAUUUCCUCAAACAACCACAAUAGGUUGUAUAACACUUCCCUGCGUCAUCAAUACCUGCAAAUAUCACUUCAAUGUAUGCAUAGGAAUGCAAUGUUUAAGUCCUCUGCAUUCAUACUUCUUAGAGUAUAAAACCACACCAUCUGCAAAUAUCACUUCAAUGAAUGCAUAUGAAUGCAAUGCAUAUGUCCUCUGCCUUCAUACCUCUAAGGGUAUGAAGCCGAAUCGUACCCCUCCUCGGGCAACGUACGAUGCUAAGUUGUACCGGUACGGUCGGACCAUAGGUCACGACAAAACUUCAUAUGCAAGUGAAUCAUGACAUGUAUAUGGCUUGCUGCAUUUAUCAAUAUACUUCACUUCCUUCAUAUACAAUACAAACCUCAAAUAAUACUUCGUUUACCUUCAGAUACAAUACAAACCUCAAAUAAUACUUCAUUCACCUUCAGGGGUGUUUAUUAAUCUCGUGGGUCAUACUCGAAUCAUCAUCAUCAUCAAUGAUGAUUAAGCAUCAGUAUAAUACAAUCAAGUAAAGCAUCACCAUAGAGUUCAAUUAUGAAAGAAUUCGAUGAUUCUGAAUAUUAGAGUGUAUGCGAUGAAACAACAACGUCAAAACGGUAGCAACCACCGCUACAUUCAUUUGCCUUCAUCGAAGAAGAAAAAUGUACUAGGCAUGAUUCAGAGUGUAGACACCUGCUGUGGGGCUUAAAACUUAGUACAAAUAUUCCACAAACAUUUGCCAACAAUUAACAAAUCGCUCCUACACUUGAAACCAAGACCCGGUGGAAUGACUCCCACCCUGAACCACAUGCCAAACAAUAGUAGUGCUGUUUGUUAAUUUUGUAUCUUUAAAAUUAUAACAGUGGUGAUAUCAAACAAAUACUCUAGAAGUUUCUACACAAAAUACUCUACAACUUCGGUAUUCAAUGGAUAAUUAAAUUUUGCCAUCUAUAAGUUCUAAAACAUCUGAUAAGAUAACUGACUGAAUUUGUUUCAGACAGCAGCAUAGUUAACUUCAAAAUUCGAUAUCUCCCAAACUCCUCAACCAAAAAUUAUGAAAUUAUGCUGACAGUAAGAACUUUUUGUCCCUCUACAAAAGUAUCUAUAGUUGGAAGAGCCAAUUCGGCCAUUUACUAGAUGAAACCUACCAGUUAACAGACCCGCUCAUUUUUGUCAGGCAAACAAGAACCCUUAUAUAUCAAAGAGUAGUGGAUUUGAAUUUGUCUAAUAUGAAGUUUAUGGGCUUGGAUCAUUUAAAGUAUUUUAUAAUUCUGAAAGACAAGAUUAAACUAACUAUGUAUGAUCCUUUAGCACCGUACAGAUGGUCGAUGGGACAGUUACAUGGUUUAUAUAGAUGGACCUAUCUAUAUUCCUUCAGUGGUUGAGAAAAAGGUAAAGGUGUGUCACACUCACGUGUGCGCCGCCUCUGCCGAGAUGAGGCAUGGCGUUGCAAGGUGAGGCAUGGCAUGGUGCAGCACGAUCGCAGUCAUGGUCGUGGCACAGUGUAGCACUGUUGUGGAUAGAUAGAUAAACUAUUGUUGUAGUUAGAGUGCAUGAGUUUUUGAAUGCAACACUAGGAUUUUCACAAUUUAACUUAAUUAAGAAGUUAUAUCUUGAUGACACAGAGUUACCUGACCAUUGAUCUCACAUGCCCUUUUAGCUCUCUUGUUCUCUAGACUCACCCUGACUAUUGAGGUCUCUUGACUCGCCAAUAUAAACACCAUCCUAUCAUUUGCUCUCGAAUACUUUUGUGUCACAACUCAACUGUCAGAUGAGUACUCCAUUACAGCACUGAGCAGGCCUCCGAAAUGAAUAUCUACUCAGAUGAAGGACGACAAUCGUGUUCUAGGGAAAUAUCAGUGACACAACUCCUUACUUCCUCUGCUUCUUCCUAGUGUUUUUUGUUGUGAUUGAGUCGACACAGCAACAACACUGCACUAUUACAACCAGUACGACUAUAUUAACUAGCAAUGUCUUCCUUAUAUGUUACUAUUUAUUUUGCUCAUAUUCAUUAUGUUUAAAUCACAUAGGCACCUUUUUGUUGGCAUCAAAAAAUUAGUAUCAACUUUCUAGAUUAAAGUGAAACUAAAAGUACCUAAAUUUCUAUCGGUGGGGAUCGAGUGAUUCUUUAAACCGAUUAUUACACAAGUGAACCACACUAAAAUUAACAUUGGUGAAUCGUGCCAUGAUUUUUUCUAGUGGAAAAUAGCCAAACCAAGCAACACAUAUGUGGCUAUCGUUACACAUGUGUAAAGGUAUUGCAUCACACCAUUGUCACCCAUGUAUUUGGACAAUACCGAGAGGAAAAACCACUUAUUUAUUGUAUUUUAUCAAGUUUGUCUUGCUUACGUAUAAAUUAUAACCCAACAAAGUAAUCACUAAAUGUCAAAACCAACUAGAUACCAUGUCAUCUCUACCUUAUCUUACUAAUAUUCUUUUUGCAAAAUCCAAAAUUAAUCUUGCACAAGCACAAGGACUGAGAUGUGUAUAAAUAUCUCUUAAAUUAGUAGCUAAUAUAUCACACAUAUUAUUGAGACCAACUAGCAACAUAGAAAGCACAAUAGUGUACCAACAAUGGCAGCCAAAAUAUUUUGCCUCCUUAUGCUCCUUGGUCUUUCUGCAAGUGCUGCUACGGCGACCAUUUUCCCACAAUGCUCACAAGCUCCUAUAGCUUCCCUUCUUCCCCCGUACCUCUCACCAGCGGUGUCUUCGGUAUGUGAAAACCCAAUUCUUCAACCCUAUAGGAUCCAACAGGCAAUCGCAGCUGGCAUCUUACCUUUAUCACCCUUGUUCCUCCAACAAUCAUCAGCCCUAUUACAGCAGUUACCUUUGGUGCAUUUAUUGGCACAAAACAUCAGGGCACAACAACUACAACAACUUGUGCUAGCAAACCUUGCUGCCUACUCUCAGCAACAACAGUUUCUUCCAUUCAACCAACUAGCUGCAUUGAACUCUGCUUCUUAUUUGCAACAACAACAACUACCAUUCAGCCAGCUAUCUGCUGCCUACCCCCAGCAAUUUCUUCCAUUCAACCAACUGACAGCUUUGAACUCUCCUGCUUAUUUACAGCAGCAACAACUACUACCAUUCAGCCAGCUAGCUGGUGUGAGCCCUGCUACCUUCUUGACACAACCACAAUUGUUGCCGUUCUACCAGCACGCUGCGCCUAACGCUGGCACCCUCUUACAACUGCAACAAUUGCUGCCAUUCAACCAACUUGCUUUGACAAACCCAACAGCAUUCUACCAACAACCCAUCAUUGGUGGUGCCCUCUUUUAGAUUUCUUAUGAGUUAUAGUUCAAUAAUAAAGUUUUUUGUCUGAUGUUUGUGGCUUCCCAGAAAUAAGAAAGUACAUUUCUAGAUUCUUAUGUGCUUCUAGUCUCCAAAUGUGGUUGAUAGUUAUUUUGCUCUAAGAUUAGCAGUAAUGAAGUAUAAAUCAUCGUUGUGGUGUGCUACUCGGUUAAUUGAGCAUUAACACACACAAACAUGACGAGGAUGGUAUAAUCUCCAAAAAUGUGUACUUUGUUAGGUGGGACCCUAUAGCCUUGCAGAAUGUGCUACGUUAGGCAUGCCAAUGGAAACGUGUGACACAUACGUUUUGUGAAUCUGUUGAUAUUAUAUGUGCUUUUAUAUUACCAUAUUUUAUUAAAAUACUAAUAUUUAUUACUAGUAAGAUAUAACAUUCUAUCUAGCUUAAAAACUAACCAUAAAUAUUCCAUAAUAACUAGAUUUACCAAACUAAUAUACUAAAUAUACAUAAUAAAUAUAAAAUUAACAAGACAAUAAUUAAUAUUUAUGAGCUUAAUUUAUUUAGACAUUAUGGUUGGUCGACGAUAAUCAUGCUAACUUUCCGUAAUUGCUUGAUUGUAAAUAUGCUUAGAAUAAUGCCUCUUUGUUCUACAUGGCAAAUAGGGACCAUUAUGGUGUAACACCCCGGGAUCCACAAACACCCCGAAAUGCUACUAAACUACACAACUAACCUUCAUAUAUAAAAUUUCGACAGCAUCUCCUUUGAAAAUUUGCAUAAACGUGGAAGCAACAGAGUAUAAACAGAUAUCAUGAUAAGGAAACAUACUAGACAUUAAUAAUCUGCUAGAAAUGGGAAGAUAACCAUAACGACAUAAACUGAAUUAACUAGUGUGCACAACUUGUUAAAAACAAACAUCGUUGACAAGAAGUUUCUAAUUAAAUCAUGGUUGUGCCUGGGCAGCGUUAUUAUGAGAGUGAAGGUGGACGUGAUGCUACUUCCCUCAUUCCCAACAUGAAUCAAGUACCUGCAUUGAGUAAUGCAAGAGUGAGAUGAAAACAUCUCAGCAAGUAAAUUGUUUUGACGAGAUAUUUAAACCAAAAAAAUUGAUUUAAUCAACAUUUUAAAGGGAUCACAAUUGAGAUCAGAAAUACUUGUAGAUAUAGAACUCAAUAGUCCCAAAAUAACCAAUGCCAUCUCAUUUCCUCAAACAACCACAAUAGGUUGUAUAACACUUCCCUGCGUCAUCAAUACCUGCAAAUAUCACUUCAAUGUAUGCAUAGGAAUGCAAUGUUUAAGUCCUCUGCAUUCAUACUUCUUAGAGUAUAAAACCACACCAUCUGCAAAUAUCACUUCAAUGAAUGCAUAUGAAUGCAAUGCAUAUGUCCUCUGCCUUCAUACCUCUAAGGGUAUGAAGCCGCAUCGUACCCCUCCUCGGGCAACGUACGAUGCUAAGUUGUACCGGUACGGUCGGACCAUAGGUCACGACAAAACUUCAGAUGCAAGUGAAUCAUGACAUGUAUAUGGCAUGCUGCAUUUAUCAAUAUACUUCACUUCCUUCAUAUACAAUACAAACCUAAAAUAAUACUUCGUUUACCUUCAGAUACAAUACAAACCUCAAAUAAUACUUCAUUCACCUUCAGGGGUGUUUAUUAAUCUCGUGGGUCAUACUCAAAUCAUCAUCAUCAUCAAUGAUGUUUAAGCAUCAGUAUAAUACAAUCAAGUAAAGCAUCACCAUAGAGUUCAAUUAUGAAAGAAUUCGAUGAUUCUGAAUAUUAGAGUGUAUGCGAUGAAACAACAAAGUCAAAACGGUAGCAACCACCUCUACAUUCACUUGCCUUCAUCGAAGAAGAAAAAGGUACUAGGCAUGAUUCGGAGUGUAGACACCUGCUGUGGGGCUUAAAACUUAGUACAAAUAUUCCAUAAACAUUUGCCAACAAUUAACAAAUCGCUCCUACACUUGAAACCAAGACCCGGUGGAAUGACUCCCACCCUGAACCACAUGCCAAACAACAAUAGUGUUGUUUGUUAAUUUCUAUCUUUAAAAUUAUAACAGUGGUGAUAUCAAACAAAUACUCUAUACGUUUCUACACAAAAUACUCUACAACUUCGGUAUUCAAUGGAUAAUUAAAUUUUGCCAUCUAUAAGUUCUAAAACAUCUGACAAGAUAACUGACUGAAUCUGUUUCAGACAACAGCAUAGUUAACUUCAAAAUUCGAUAUCUCCCUAACUCCUCAACAAAAAAUUAUGAAAUUAUGCUGACAGUAAGAACUUUUAUCCCUCUACAAAAGUCUCCAUAGUUGAAAGAGCCAAUUCGGCCAUUUACUAGAUGAAACCUACCAGUUAACGGACCCGCUCAUUUUUGUCAAGCAAACAAGAACCCUUAUAUAUCAAAGAGUAGUGGAUUUGAAUUUGUCUAAUAUGAAGUUUACGGGCUUGGCUCAUUUAAAGUAUUUAAUAAUUCUGAAAGACAAGAUUAAACUAACUAUGUAUGAUCCUUUAGCACCGUACAGAUGGUCGAUGGGACAGUUACAUGGUUUAUAUAGAUGGACCUAUCUAUAUUCCUUCAGUGGUUGAGAAAAAAGUAAAGGUGUGUCACACUCACGUGUGCGCCGCCUCCGCCGAGACGAGGCAUGGCGUUGCAAGGUGAGGCAUGGCAUGGUGUAGCACGAUAGCAGUCAUGGUCGUGGCACAGUGUAGCACUGUUGUGGAUAGAUAGGUAAACUAUUGUUGUAGUUAGAGUGCAUGAGUUUUUGAAUGCAACACUAGAAUUUUCACAAUUUAACUUAAUUAAGAAGUUAUAUCUUGAUGACACAGAGUUACCUGACCAUUGAUCUCACAUGCCCUUUUAGCUCUCUCGUUCUCUAGACUCACCCUGACUAUUUAAGUCUCUUGACUCGCCAAUAUAAACACCAUCCUAUCAUUUGCUCUAGAAUACUUCUGUGUCACAACUCAACUGUCAGAUGAGUACUCCAUUACAGCACUUACGUACACGAGUUCUAUGAGAGCAGGCCUCCAAAAUGAAUAUCUACUUAGAUGAAGGACGACAAUCGUGUUCUAGGGAAAUAUCAGCGACACAACUCCUUACUUCCUUCGCUUCUUCCUAGUGUUUUUUGUUGUGAUUGAGUCGACACAGCAACAACACUGCACUAUUACAACCAGUACGACUAUAUCAACUAGCAAUGUCUUCCUUAUAUGUUACUAUUUAUUUUGCACAUAUUCAUUAUGUUUAAAUCACAUAGGCACCUUUCUAUUGGCAUCAAAAAAUUAGUAUCAACUUUCUAGAUUAAAAUGAAACUAAAAGUACAUAAAUUUCUAUCGGUGGGGAUCGAGUGAUUCUUUAAACCGAUUAUUACACAAGUUAACCACACUAAAAUUAACAUUGGUGAAUCGUGCCAUGAUUUUUUUUCUAGUGGAAAAUAGCCAAACCAAGCAACACAUAUGUGGCUAUCGUUACACAUGUGUAAAGGUAUUGCAUCACACUAUUGUCACCCAUGUAUUUGGACAAUACCGAGAGGAAAAACCACUUAUUUAUUGUAUUUUAUCAAGUUUGUCUUGCUUACGUAUAAAAUUAUAACCCAACAAAGUAAUCACUAAACGUCAAAACCAACUAGAUAUCAUGUCAUCUCUACCUUAUCUUACUAAUAUUCUUUUUGCAAAAUCCAAAAUUAAUCUUGCACAAGCACAAGGACUGAGAUGUGUAUAAAUAUCUCUUAAAUUAGUAGCUAAUAUAUCGCACAUAUUAUUUAGACCAACUAGCAACAUAGAAAGCACAAUAGUGUACCAACAAUGGCAGCCAAAAUAUUUUGCCUCCUUAUGCUCCUUGGUAUUUCUGCAAGUGCUGCUACGGCGACCAUUUUCCCGCAAUGCUCACAAGCUCCUAUAGCUUCCCUUCUUCCCCCGUACCUCUCACCAGCGGUGUCUUCGGUAUGUGAAAACCCAAUUCUUCAACCCUACAGGAUCCAACAGGCAAUCGCAGCUGGCAUCUUACCUUUAUCACCCUUGUUCCUCCAACAAUCAUCAGCCCUAUUACAGCAGUUACCUUUGGUGCAUUUAUUGGCACAAAACAUCAGGGCACAACAACUACAACAACUUGUGCUAGCAAACCUUGCUGCCUACUCUCAGCAACAGCAGUUUCUUCCAUUCAACCAACUAGCUGCAUUGAACUCUGCUUCUUAUUUGCAACAACAACAACUACCAUUCAGCCAGCUACCUGUUGCCUACCCCCAGCAAUUUCUUCCAUUCAACCAACUGGCAGCAUUGAACUCUCCUGCUUAUUUACAGCAGCAACAACUACUACCAUUCAGCCAGCUAGCUGGUGUGAGCCCUGCUACCUUCUUGACACAACCACAGUUGUUGCCGUUCUACCAGCACGCUGCGCCUAACGCUGGCACCCUCUUACAACUGCAACAAUUGCUGCCAUUCAACCAACUUGCUUUGACAAACCUAGCAGUGUUCUACCAACAACCCAUCAUUGGUGGUGCCCUCUUUUAGAUUUCUUAUGAGUUAUAGUUCAAUAAUAAAGUUUUUUGUCUGAUGUUUGUGGCUUCCCAGAAAUAAGAAAGUACAUUUCUAGAUUCUUAUGUGCUUCUAGUCUCCAAAUGUGGUUGAUAGUUAUUUUGCUCUAAGAUCAGCAGUACAACAACAACAACAACAACAACAACAACAACAACAAAGCCUUUUUGUCCCAAGCACGUUGGGGUAGGCUAGAGAUGAAACCCCGUAUGAAAACCUCAGAGCUCAACCCCCAAAGAACAGAAAAGGGAAACAAAGGCAAAGGAGAACCGAAAACAACGAAACGGGGAAACACAUAAAAGAGAUAAAACCCACAAGGACCAGCAAGAUCUAAAAUGGACACAAGAAAAGGUCAAACGAUUAAGGAGGAAAAGCGAAACUAUCAAUCAGGGUUCUGGCACGUGAAUUGCACACUUCCACCCCUUCCUAUCUGCGGCGAGCUCUUUGUCAAUAUUCCACUCCUUCAGGUCUCUCUUCACAGCCUCUGUCCACGUCAAAGUUGGUCGACCUCUACCUCUCUUCACAUUUUCGGGACGCCUAAUUAUUCCGAUAUGCACUGGUGCCUCUUCAGGUCUUCGUUGGAUAUGUCCAAACCAUCUCAAGCGAUGUUGCAUAAGCUUCUCCUCAAUUGGCGCCACUCCUACUCUCUCUCGUAUAUCAUCAUUCCGGACUCGAUCUCUCCUUGUGUGGCCACAUAUCCAGCGCAACAUACGCAUCUCUGCCACACUUAGUUGUUGGACAUGUCGUCUUUUAGUGGGCCAACAUUCUGCUCCAUACAACAUAGCCGGCCGGAUUGCUGUCCUGUAGAAUUUGCCUUUUAGUUUGCGUGGCACCCGGUGGUCGCAUAAGACACCCGCAGCUUGUCGCCACUUCAACCAUCCGGCUUUAAUUCUAUGACUGACAUCCUCAUCGAUGUCUCCCUCCUUUUGAAGCAUUGAUCCUAAGUAACGAAAAGUGUCUUUCUUGGGUACCACUUGCCCAUCAAGACUAACAUCGCCAUCCUCAUACCCCAUGGCACUGAAAUCACACUUCAUAUACUCUGUUUUAGACCUACUAAGCCUAAAACCUUUUGCUUCCAGCGUCUGCCUCCACAAUUCCAACUUUUGAGAAACACCACUCCUACUCUCCUCAAUAAGUACCACAUCAUCGGCAAAAAGCAUACACCACGGUAAAACUCCUUGUAUGUCCCUUGUGACCUCAUCUAUCACCAAAGCGAAAAGAUAAGGGCUCAAAGCCGACCCUUGAUGUAGUCCUAUGUUAAUUGGAAAGUCAUCGGUGUCUCCAUCACUUGUUCGGACACUUGUCACAACAUUAGUGUACAUAUCUUUAAUAAGAUUAAUGUACUUUGUUGCUACUUUGUGUUUUUCCAAGGCCCACCACAUUACACUCCUAGGUACUUUGUCAUAAGCCUUCUCCAAGUCUAUGAAGACCAUAUGCAGGUCUUUCUUUUGUUCUCUGAAUCUCUCCAUAAGUUGUCUUAGUAAGAAAAUGGCCUCCAUAGUUGAUCUCCCGGGCAUGAAACCAAACUGAUUUUGGGUCACGCUCGUCAUCUUUCGCAGGCGGUGUUCAAUGACUCUCUCCCAUAGCUUCAUUGUAUGGCUCAUGAGCUUAAUUCCACGGUAAUUAGUACAACUUUGAACAUCUCCUUUGUUCUUGAAGAUUGGUACUAAUGUACUCCGCCGCCACUCGUCGGGCAUUCUGUUUGCCCGAAAGAUGGUGUUGAAAAGCUUAGUCAGCCAUACUAUCGCUAUGUCUCCAAGACAUCUCCAUACCUCGAUAGGGAUACCAUCAGGGCCCAUCGCCUUUCCUACCUUCAUCCUUUUUAGCGCCUCCUUAACUUCAUAUUCUUGUAUCCUUCGUACAAAACCCCUGUUGUUGUCAUCGAAUGGUUCGUCCAAUUCUAUUGUAGCACUCUCAUUCCCUCCAUUGAACAAUUUGUUGAAGUACUCCUUCCAUCUGUUCUUGAUCUCUUCACUCUUCACUAAUAGUUGGUUUGCUUCGUCCUUGAUGCAUUUGACUUGGUUGACAUCCCUUGUCUUCCUUUCACGAAUCUUGGCCAUCCUAUAGAUAUCCUUUUCUCCCUGCUUUGUGUCCAGCCGUUGAUAAAGGUCGUCAUAGGCUUGACCCCGGGCUCUACUAACCGCUCGCUUUGCAGACUUCUUCGCUAUCCUGUACUUCUCUAUGUUUUCUGCACACUUGUCAUGAUGUAAGCGUUUGUAGCAAUCUUUCUUCUCCUUGAUAGCCUUUUGGACAUCUUCGUUCCACCACCAAGUGUCUUUAACUUCCCUUCUGUUCCCUUGACUCAACCCAAACUCUUCUGAAGCUAUCUUUCGGAUGCAUGUCGCCAUCUUCCUCCACAUGAUAUUUGCGUCUUCCUCUCCUGCCCAAGGGCCCUCCUCGAUAACUCUCUUCUUGAAAGUUUGGGCCACAUCCCCUUUAAGCUUCCACCACUUUGUUCUAGUGACCUUGUUAUGCUUAUUUCGUUGUAAACGAAUCUUAAAACGGAAGUCAGCAACGACAAGCUUAUGUUGGGUUACCACACACUCUCCAGGUAUAACCUUGCAAUCUAAGCAGGCAUGCCUGUCCUCUUUUCUCAAGAGGACGAAAUCAAUCUGGCUAGUGUGUUGGCCACUACUGAAGGUCACCAGGUGGGAUUGCCUCUUCUUAAAGAAAGUGUUUGCUAUAAACAUGUCAUAGGCUAGGGCAAAGUUCAGGAUUUCCUCUCCUUCUUGAUUCCUAGUCCCAAAGCCGAAGCCUCCAUGUACACCCUCGAAACUGGUGCUAGAUGUACCCACAUGGCCAUUGAGAUCUCCUCCUAUGAAGAGCUUCUCGCCAACUGGCACACUACUAACCAUGUCCUCUAGGCCUUCCCAGAACUCUCUCUUUGAGUUCUCAUUAAGGCCUACUUGAGGAGCAUACGCGCUGAUAACAUUGAGAACCAAGUCUCCAAUGACCAGCUUGACUAGGAUGAUUCUAUCUCCUACCCUCUUAACAUCUACUACCCCAUCUUUGAGGCUCUUGUCGAUCAAGACGCCUACUCCAUUCUUGUUUGUUGCAGUCCCCGUGUACCACAACUUGAAACCUGUACCUUUCACUUCCUUCGCCUUCUGUCCCUUCCACUUGGUCUCUUGAACGCAUAAAAUAUUUACCCGUCUCCUCACCGCAACGUCAACUAUUUCUCGUAACUUACCUGUUAAGGAACCUACGUUCCAACUGCCUACACGGACCCUAGUUGGCUCGACUAGCUUCCUUACCCUUCGCACCCGCCGAGGAAGAUGCAAAGACCCUUGCUCAUUUUUCACUACACCCGGGCGCCGAUGUAGCGCGCCACUAAGGAUGCGACGACCCGAUCCUUGCUCACUUAUCACCGGCUCCAGAUCAAGAGACAGCGCGUCACUUGAGGGGUGACGACCCGGCCCUUGCUCAUUUAACACCAUACCCGGGUUCCGAUAUGGCGCGUCGCUAAGAGGGUUACGCCCCAACGGUUUUCUUUGUGGUUUCAUCUCCAUAAGAUUUGGCUGGUUUUUUACGUUGGUUUGCCGGACCUAACACAACCCUCCUCCUUUACCGGGCUUGGGACCGGCUAUGUUGAAACGACUCAAGGAAGUCUUCCAAUCAACAUAGGCGGAGUUUAAGAUCAGCAGUAAUGAAGUAUAAAUCAUCGUUGUGGUGUGCUACUCGGUUAAUUGAGCAUUAACACACACAAACAUGACGAGGAUGGUAUAAUCUCCCAAAAUGUGUACUUUGUUAGGUGGGACCCUAUAGCCUUGCAGAAUGUGCUACGUUAGGCAUGCCGAUGGAAACGUGUGACGCAUACGUUUUGUGAACCUGUUGAUAUUAUAUGUGCUUUUAUAUUACCAUAUUUUAUUAAAACACUAAUAUUUAUUACUAGUAAGAUAUAACAUUCUAUCUAGCUUAAAAACUAACCAUAAAUAUUCCAUAAUAACUAGAUUUACCAAACUAAUAUACUAAAUAUACAUAAUAAAUACAAAAUUAACAAGACAAUAAUCAAUAUUUAUGAGCUUAAUAUAUUUAGACAUUAUGGUUGGUCGACGAUAAUCAUGCUAACUUUCCGUAAUUGCUUGAUUGUAAAUAUGCUUAGACUAAUGCCUCUUUGUUCUACAUGGCAAAUAGGGACCACUCUAGGAGACUAGGAUGUUGCUUGAGAUGAAAAUGUCAGAAUUGGUGUAGACUAAUUUCUAUCGGCCGCUGACUUCACUAUUGUAACCAUUAUAUCUUGGGUAAAUUAUAUACGAUUAUCCAGCCAAAGGGCCCAGAUGAUAAAAAACAAUUUUUAAUUGCUAUUUUAGGACAAAUGAAUUAGCAUGGUUCGAAGGAUUACGACCUUCCCCCCAUGACCUUUGUCAUACUGCUUUAGUCUAAUCGACAAAACCAAGAUUAGUUAUCAUCGAAGAAGUUCAUAAGCGAAGUUGUGACGAUGAAAGGAACAUGGUGGUAAUUGGACGAACGACGACACCUUUGUCUAAGAAUGGCAUCUAGAAGAAAUCUCAGACAAAAUAAGACAUGAAUGGCUUGUCAGUACAGCGCAAAUACUGAAACAUGCGCCCUUGAAUAUGAAACAUUUAUAUGUAAGAGGAAGGGAUAAAAAAACUAAUUACUCGUGCCUAAUGAUUUUAUUGGGAAUUUUAAGGCGAGACUUAUGGCAAAGGGUUAUACCAAAAAUAGGGGAGAGAUUAUUUCGAUACUUAUUCACUUGUUUCCCUUCAAAUGGCCAUACAUGUGUUACUUUUUUUGGCUGCCUCGCAUGGUCUUAUCGUUCAUCAGAUGAAUGUUAAGACUGCUUUCCCAAAUGGAGAGCUUAAGGAACAGAUCUACAUUGACUAGCCUAGUGGUUUUAUAUCAAAUGGUAAAGAGGAAAAGGUGUUUAAAAUAAUUGUUUGGUUUAAAACAAGCACCAAAGCACAUGAGAAAAUCGAUAAAGUUCUGACUUUGGCUAAAUUUGUUGUAAAUGAAGUUGAUAAAUGUGUCCAUUACCAGUUUGACAGGGGCGAAGGUAUGACCUUUUUAUAUGUGGACAAAAUAUUAACCUUUUGUAACGAUGUUAAUAUGAUAGAAGAAGUAAAGUAAUUUUUGUCUAGUAACUUAGAAAUAAACAAUCUGGGAGAGGCUAAUGUUGUUCUUAACAAAGAGAUGUUGAGAGAAGGAGGAAAUAGAGGGUUACUCUUGUGCAAUCCUAUUAGGUUGAAAAGUCGCUGAGUCGCUUUGGAUAUAGUGAUUACACGUCUGGUCCAACAACUUAUGACCCAAGUGUGUUAUUAAGGAAAAAUCAUAUAAUUGCAUAUGAUCAAUUGAGAUAUUGUCAAAUCAUGGUCUUCUCAUAUAUUUGGCAAGCCCAACGAUGUCUCAUAUCUGAUUUGUUAUGAGCAAACUCAGUUGCCUUGUCUCCAAUCUAGGGGAGGAUCAUGACAUGCCCUAGAGAGGGUAUUGCGCUUUCUCAAAGGGAUAUGAGUAAUGUCAUUUACUAUACUAGGCACCUAAGAGUACCAGAGUGUUAUAGUCAUGCAAAUAGGAUAUCUGAUGUUGAUUAGAUUUAUGCCACAAGUAGACUUGUGUGCUUCCUUGGAGGUGUGAUUGUUUCAUGGAAGUCUUGUAAGUAGACCAUCUUAACAAGGUCAACAAUAGAAGUAGAACUCACAACAUUAUAUACUACCAAAGUUGAAGUUGAUUGGCUCCGUGAACUCCUUACGGAUUUACCAGUAGUUGAAAAACCAAUACUGGUUAUCUCUAUGAGCUACAAUAAUCAAACAUUUGUAAUCGAAGUAAACAGUUCUAAAGUUAACAUGAUGUCUACAAAGCAUGUAAAAAUGGUUGAAACUGUUAAAACACUAAGAAACUCUAGAUUAAUUAUGUUGGACUAUAUCCAUACAUCGAAUUUGGUAUGCCAGUUUACAGAAGAUUUGUCACAUAAUAUGAUUCAAGGUGCAUCGAGGAAUAUGGGCUUGAGACCCACUUAAUGUCAAUCCAUAGUGGUAGCAGUUUCUAUGUGAUUGGAGAUCCCAUAAAGUAGAAUGGUGAAACAAGCUAGAGAAUGACUGAUGGAGAGACUCCUUAAAUAAAAUCUUGAUAAUUUGAGAUGCACAUUUCUCAUUUGAUGUAUUGUAGGCGAACUAAAAUCUUAAUAUGAUUUGAGUGACUUAUCUAAGCAGGGAUGUUAUCUUACAGAACAUCCUAGAAAGAACACACCUAUAUGAGUUUGCAUGUUAGUCAUAGUCUAUCAUGUGUGGUAAUCUUUAUAUACUCAUGAAAGGCUUGAAGUUUGACUUAUAUGCUUCAAACCAAGGGGGUGCUUGUAACAGUCUAGUACAAGAUAAGAACAUUGGUAAAACUCACUUAACGCAAAAUUGUCAAUUUAAGGCAUAGUUCAUUGUUUAGAUGUGAAUGUGUAAUCCCUGUUCUAGAUGGAUGGUCAACUUAACAGCCUCCACCAAAACCCUGAUAUCUCAAAGAGUAGUGGAUUUGAGUUUGUCUAAUAUGUGGUUUAGAUUUUGGUGGGGAAUUUUAAUAUUUUAUGGGCUUGGCCCAUUUAAGGUAUUUAAUACUUUCAAAAGACAAGAUUAAACAUGUGUGAAUAGUGUCAUGAUUUUUUUCUAGUGCAAAAUAGCCCAACAAAUCAACACAUAUGUGGCUAUCAUUACACAUGUGUAAAGGUAAUGCAUCACACCAUUGUCACCCAUGUAUUUAGAAAAUACCAAGAAGAAAAACAACUUGUUUAUUGUAUUUUAUGGAGAUUAUCUUGCUUACAUAUAAUUAUAACCCAACAAAGUGGUCACUAAAUGUCAAAACCAACUAGGUACCAGGUCAUCUCUAGCUUAUCUUGCUAAUGAUAUUUUUGCAAAAUCCAAAAUUAAUCUUGCACAAGCACAAGGACUGAGAUGUGUAUAAAAAUCUCUUAGAUUAGUAGGUAAUCCAUCACACAAAGCGCAAUAGUGUAGCAAAACUGGCAGUCAAAAUAUUUUGCCUCCUUAUGCUCCUUGCUCUUUCUGCAAGUGCUGCUAACGCGACCAAUUUUCUGCAAUGCUCACAAGAUCCAAUUGCUUCCCUUCUUCCCUCAUACCUCUCACCAGCGACAUCUUCAGUAUGUGAAAACCCAAUUCUUCAACCCUAUAGGAUCCAACAGGCAAUCACAGCAAGCAUCUUACCUUUAUCACCCUUGUUCCUCCAACAACCGCCAGCCCUGUUACAACAAUUACCUUUGGUGCAUUUGUUGGAACAAAGCAUCAAGGCACAACAACUACAACAACCUGUGCUGACAAACCUUGUUGCCUACUCUCAGCAACAAUAGUUUCUUCCAUUCAACCAACUGGCUGCACUGAACUCUGCUGCUUAUUUGCAACAACAACAACAACUUCCAUUCACCCAGCUAGCUGCUGCCUACCCCCAACAAUUUCUUCCAUUCGACUAACUGGCUGCAUUGAACUCUGUUGCUUAUUUACAACAGCAACAACUAAUACCAUGAAACCAGCUAGCUGUUGCGAGCCCUGCUACCUUCUUGACACAACCACAGUUGAUGUCGUUCUACCUGCAAGCUGUGGCUAACGUCGGCACCCUCUUACAACUACAACAAUUGUUGCCAUUCAUCCAACUUGCUUUGACAAAC